UCACGUGGCUAAAAUCUGGCAAUCUGACCCAAUGCAUCAUGCUUUUGUAGACUCCAUUUUCCCAAAGUUAUGAAGCACAUCUCGACUUUAAACUUGAUUUUGUUGGAUGUUCCCUGAUUGCUUGGGCAAGAGCUAUGAACUGUAUAACCUGCAUCUGAAAUGGAACUGAAACUUCUCUUAUGGUUGUUCCAUUAUUGUUAUUUUUUCUUUUGUAUAAUUGUCACGUGCAUAAAUAGAUAUAUUUAGCUUUCUUUUUUUCACCCUUGUUCUUGAUUCCAAAUAAUGUUCUUGCGGUUGGAAGGUCAGAAAUUGCUAGGACAUGCCUUUUCCAAAUUGACGAUUCUAAUUUAAUCCGUGAUAAACGAAGAACUUGGGUUUGUGUAGCUCACUGGCAUCUCUAAGAUGUGGUCAUUGGGAAAAGCAGCGACAUAUCAAUUACCAGUAAUCACCACAAGAACAGAAACCUUGCUGGAAAAGGUGGAAACGAUUACUAUCUCGAGCAAUGAUUUAUCGGCCGUGUAAUUUUGAUACCGGCUCGGCAAAUGAAUGGCAAUCAGAGCAUAUUCGGAGAUUCUUUGCAACACGAAUUAUCAUUCCUUGACCUGUACUGAUAAGUGCAAAAGCUAUCGCUAAUUAUUCACUAUUUCGACUGAACUGGUACUCUUUCUCCUUCUCAUUAACAUCAAGCAGAAGAAAACUCGCAAGGCCAGGAUAGCCAUUCUACAGCAAAUCUCUUUCAACAUAGGUUCAACUUGGGUCAUUUCUGGGUGUGAUUCAGCACCUGACGUGAACUCGUAGUUUUUUCCACUGAUCUCUACCGAGCUUGAUCCAGGCAUUUUGUGGACUCCUUUCUCCUUUAGGUGUAGCCUGACCUUUGCAACCUCCAUAUAUGUUCGACAGAAGAACAUGAAUCCCAGUCCUCUCAGGCUCCAAUUCAGCUAGCCUUUCAGCUGUAUAAGCUGCAACACUACAUUUUUUUGUAUCCGGCAAGCAGCUAAAAGAGAUCCCCAGAUCACGUCAUUAGGCUCCAUUGGCAUGCUAUUUAUGAGACAUAAGAGCUUCGCUCAACAACCCAGCUCGGCCAAGCAAAUCAACCAUGCACCCAUAAUGGACAGCUUGAGGAGCUAUACAAUAGAUAUCCUUCAUGGCCCUAAAAAUAGCCAGCCCUGUUCUACUAACCCGCUGUGGCUCAAUGCAGUCAGCAGUCCCACAAAUACCACUCCAUGUGGUUUAAUCCCUUGCUGCAGCAUUUUAUUGAAAAGCUCAAUAGCCUCGUAACCAUUUCCCUCCAUCGCCAUUGCACCGAAGGCUACAGUCCUGGCUGAAACAUCUCUUUUCAUCACCUUGUUGAAAACUUGCAUUGCACUCUUUAGGUCACCACAUCUAGCAAACACAUCAAUCAAGGCUGUGCCUAGUUGCAGAUCACAGUGAAUAUCUUUCAACUAGAUAUAACUAUGGAUCCACUUUGAAAGGUCCAGAGCUCCUAGAUACCUGCAGGCAAUAAACUUCAGGAUCCACCCAAGUGAUGAUCUUUAUUAGUCAAUGCAAAUAUUUUUUACACGUGUCAUAUAAUUUAACAAAAUUCAAACUGGAGGAAAGUUAAUGAAACACAUAGUAAAAGGAUAGAAUUUAUUAAACAAGAUUUGUAUAAGGGAAAAAUCCAUAAAAAAAAUAAAAAAAGUGGAAACUUUAUUUAUUUAAUUGAGAUACACAGAGAAGACAACGUUACAUGCACCCACCGGGCUUAGCAUUGGGUUACAAGUUUCUUGGUGAAACAAAGAUGGAUUAUCAGAUUCUUAUUCCCGGUUUCUUUAUCUUUACAUGAUCGCUUCUCGGUUUUUUUAGCACUUGAAGAAAAUUUAAGGAUAUUUGGAGAGAACCCUGCUUAUAGCUCUGAUGGUGUUUGGGGUAGUCCUGCAGCAGCCUCCAAAUAGAGAAGCCCCGGCUUCACGCCACCUACCUAUGUAUGAGACGAAGUCUUCAUCUACUACCACUCCACUUGAUUUCUGCAACAGUACACAUUGAAUCAAACUUCUGAAUCACUAACGUUAAGGAGAUGGUGCAAGUGAUUGAUCAAAACAGGAACAAAUUUUGCUUCGUAACGACAAUAGGAUGUUAAAGAGCUUCAGUUGUCCUAAAAGGGCUGUUGUAUACAAAAAUAUUCAGCAAUUCUAAAUAACGAAUUAGCAACUGUGCAGUUCUUCAGCCACUCCUCCUUACGGGGACGUAGUACUUGGUGGAGAAACCCACAAAGAACAGCCUGUUAUUUGAAGAAAAAAGAACAUGAGAAUGCUCACCACCCACUGCUUAAGCUCAGCAUUGUACGUCUCGCCGCUGUUGGGAUAUAUGACUAUUGGCUUACUUGUUGCCUGCCAGAUUAACCAGCCAAAAAGCGUUAGUCCCAGAAGUUGAUUAGGUUGAAGCAGAGGUUCUUCUGGAAAUUUGGUUUUAACUAACAAAAAUAUUAUUAACUUCAGAAAACAGACCUUUUGGAUGGAGAGAACGAGUCCAUGGAUAAAUCUUGGAGGGGUACAGUUGAUUCCAACAGCAACAACUCGUUUGCAGGAAUCUGCAAUGGAGGCACACUCAAGGAUGGAAUCACCACUGACCACAUUAAUUCCAUCCUUGGAAUUGAAAGAGAACCAUGCUGGAAUAUUCAUCUCUUCCUCCUCAAGAAGCUCUGCAUAAGCCUGAUCAACAAAACCAAGCAAGAUUACGAGAGUUAAUUGCCAGAAAAGGUACACGCUAUGACAUUCUUAAUAAAAGCCACAGAAUCAUUAAUUGAUCUACUCAGAAAUCAACCAAUUCGUUUGUGUAAUUAUGAAAUAUAUUAACUACCUUUGCCUCGAGCUUAUUCGGAAUUGUCUCAAACGCAAUCAGGUCAGCACCUGAUUUCGCUAGAAUCUGCAACCUUCUCCUAUGAAAAUCCUUCAAUGUUUUUAGAGAAACUGCAUCACCAUAUUUCCCACUGUAAAGAGAGACAGCGGCAGAUUGUUGACAGGUAGAAGAAAAGGGAAUUACUAUAAGGCAUGAUAAUCUUGAUGUAAUAUUUGGUGAUUGCUUGUGCUAUAAAUAUUGUCGCAUAAUCUGAUAGCAAGAGCAAAAACUAUGACGUUAAAUCAUUUAGUUACUAACCUAUACUCGGAGCCAUCAGCCAAAUAAGCACCAUAGCUGCCAAUGGAAGCAGCAACUAAAACAGGACGUCUUGAGAUUUUCCACUUUCAAUGUAAUCCGAAGAACCUUUGGUAGUACAUUUGUCAUAGUAAAUUUCCCUUGCCUCGCAUGCAAUUUCAACACUUCUCCUAAGCAAUAAUUCAGCUUCUUCUUCAGACAAACCUUUAGCCACAAAACCCUGAAUAGUAGCCUGUCACAUUUUAUUUUUUUUUAAACGUGUCAGCUUAAAAUUUAUCUCCACAAAAACUUGUAUAAUAUAAUUGGUGAUUAUAAUAUAUAUGAAUAAAAUACCUGAUAAGAUGCUGUUAUUAUGAUAUUUGCACCAGCAUGAAGAUAAUCUAGGUGAACCUGUCAUGUUAAACACGAUCAACAAUAAUAUUCACGAUCAAGAAAGGAAUGCCGUCGAGGACAGCAACUAAUGUAAUUGCCCAAUUUUAGCUGUCCAUGAACUCUUUAAGCUUGUGGACUCAAGAACAUGUACACGAGAUCCAUUGUGUCUAACUGGUACAAUUGCAAAAAAUUGGCACAGUUCAUGUUUCUUCAAAGUUCAAAAGAAUUGGUGUUCAACUUCGUACUACAUUGCGCAUGUAAGGCCUGUUUAUUUCUUUAAAAAUAUUUUUGAAAAAAUUUAAAUUUUAUUUAUUUUUUAUUUAUUCAAAUUAAUAUGUUUUUAGUGUUUUCAAAUCAUUUUAAUGUGCUGAUAUAAAAUAAUUUUUAAAAAAUAAAAAAACAUCAUUAACAUGUAUUUGGUAUGAAAAUUAUUUGAAAAUAAUUAAACAUAUUACUAAACAAGUUUGUAGUCAAAAUUGGCCAUUUUCGUGCCGACUAGGGAUCAUUAUUAUCUUUCCAUGGAGAACGUUAAUAACUUUUUAAUUUUCAAAAUUCUAAGCAUGAAACUGGAAUAAAACAAAAAUAUUCCUUCUGGAAUUUGGCUAAAAAUCUGGAACAGAUAGAGAUUUUAAAUGAGAGGAUAAUUAUUUUAUUUUAUUUAUUUUUUUAAAUUAAUAUAAAAUAUUUUAGUAAUGAAACGAAACGAAAUGAAAUUAACGUAAAGUUAUAACCAAACAUAGCUCACGUUCACUCACUCUUUUUAAUUAUCUCUUUCAUUUCUUUGAUUUUUCCCAAAUAUUUUUGUUUUAUUUUUGUACUCCCAGUACUUUUCAUCACAUAAUAACAUGAUAUUUAUUAUAGGUUAAAAGAAUCAUCUCAAAUUCAAUAAAUAAAUUUUUAAAAAUAAUUUUAUAUUGAUCUUUAAUAUAUACAUUUUUAGAUAAAAAUUAUUUAAAUUCGAAAUUUAUAUUAAUUUUAUAUUAAUUUAAAAUUAAAAUUCAAUAAAUUAAUUAUCAUAUCUGUAAUAUUAUCUCAAAAAAUAUCUUAAUUUUUAAAAUAUAUACUUAUACUUUUUAACUUGCACGAAAUAGACACGUUUCAUUUGUUCCGCAUGGCAAUUGACACGUCAAUAAAAACACCAUUGGUCUGGGCAAGAAGAGCCUUGCCACGUAAGUUAGAGAUGUGCCUUUGCCACGUAAUUUGUUAGAAGAUGAUAACAAGCUCCCUUGUAUUCGUAUCAUAUAUGUAAGAGCCACGACACCGAUGUCCUAACUUUUGGUUCACUUCAUUAUCUCUAAGAAGCAAGUUAGGAUCAUUACAAAUUCACAAUUACCAUCAACCCUAAAAUAGCUUAGCGCCGAAAGAGGGGAAAAAGAUUCUUCUAAAAAUAAUAAAAAUAUAUUUUUAAUUUUUCAAUGCUCUUUUUACAUGCUUCAAGACAGUGUUAAAUAAAAUACUAUUUUACCAUCUCUUUACAAAAAUGCUAUUUCUAUAUAUUUUGCAAAAAUACUAAAGUACUAUUCAUUACAAUAAUAAUAUUUUUUCACUAUUUUUUCUUUUUUUUUUUACAUUUAUUUUUUUAUAAGAUUAAUUUAUUAAUCCAUGAUCUUUCGUAGGUUUGCCGACUCACCUAAAUUGAUUUAAAUUGUUUUUUUUUUUAAAAAAAAAUUUAUAUUUUAAUAUUGGGUCGAUUAGAAAAUUAUCGAGCUAUUUUUAGAUUUGUUAAUCAAUUGAGUCUUAUUAAAUUAUUAAAAAGUUAUGUAUUAAAUAUAUUAAAAUAUAAUAAAAUCUUCUAAAUAAGGCAUAAUUUAAAAUAAAUUAUUUCUAACAGCAUCUUUUAUAUGGGAGAUACUAUAAGAAUAAAAUUUUCAUAAUUCCACAUAGAAAGGAACACGUACACCUCUUUUUACACAUAAUUAAUUUGUAGAUGCCCACUACCUAUUUAUAUACUAGUUAUGACAAUGCAUAAUUAACAAUCAAACUAAAAAUAAAAUAAAUUGGACUCUCAAGUAACUAUGUAGAAAGAAAUCCUCCAACAUUAGAACCAAGAACACAAUCAAGAUUACAUAUACAACUAGUAAAAAGAAAAAGAAAAAGGUUUCGUGCGGCUCGGAAACAACAUGAAAAAGAAAGGUGAUGGAAGGAUCAUAUUUUCCAAUCAAGACAUUAAUUUUUCUCUUUUAUGUUCGCAAAAAGAGGAAAACAAAACAGUUAAUUAAUCUGCACAGAGAAAUGCUUCCAAAUAUAGAGAGGGGGUGAGAGAGGGUUACCUUUCUAACAAGAUGAGGAGAACUGAUGAGGCAUUUGGCACUCCAGAGAGGGUCGUUAAGGUCAGCACCAUGUCGUUCAAGUUCAGUGGCGAAGCCGCCAUCAACAACAGCAUAGCCACCACAUUUCUGGAGGAAAUCCGUCAUCAACCUCGACGAAGUUUCAACGAUUCCCAAUUCCAUGUUGUUAAUGAUUAUGAUUAAGAAAAAGACGGAAGAGGUUGAGAGAGAUGGCGAGUAGCCAAUGUGGAAAAAGAAGCAGAAAGCACCCGUUAAUGCUGUCCAAAUUCUUGCUAUCAAUUUAUAGAGAAAACAAAGAGUUGCUGUGUGUUUAAAGUAUGGUUGUGAUUGUUUUUUAAAUGUUUUUUAUUCGGAAAUGUAUUAAAAUAAUAUUUUUUAUUUUUUAAAAAUUAUUUUAAUAUUAACAUAUAAAAUGAUAUAAAAAUAAUAUUAAUUUAAAAUAAAAAAAUAAAAAAUAAACAAAAAUAUUUUCAAAUUGAAAAAACAAAUAUUUAGAAAGACUAUAAACUGACGUGUCGUUCUUACACACAACAAUAAAUGAUAUGUCUAUUCUCCAUGAUGGUAUAAGUUUGUGGUUGCGGGACUUUCCAUCACCAUUUCACCACGACUAAUCCUUCGUAAUUCAGGAUUAACUGCUCCAAAUCAUGUUAAUCAAAUUUGUGCAAGUAUUAUGGUAAGUAUUGAAAUAGCUUGGAACAUAAAUUUCUAUAAAAAUGAAAAAUAUCCUCCCUUUAAAUACAGUUUAAUUUAAACUAUUGAAUUACAUAAUUACAACUUACAAGUAAUUAAUCAUCGAUCCAAAUUGAGUAUUUUUAGAUAAUAGACCUCAACAUAAACUAUAAAAUUUGAUUUUGUUAAGAAACAUUUCAUGAGCAAAGGAAUUAUAAAUUUUGCAUGGUACUAUAAUUAAAAGAGCCGAAGAAAUUAUAAAAUUGGAAGCAUAAGUAUGCUUAUUGUGUAAAUCUGAUUUAAAGAAUGGCUACGAUAUACAAACUCUUAUCCUCUUAUACAUUAAUUAAAAAUUAAAAACCAGAUAAGGAUGAAAAUCCUUCACUUUAGGAAAUGAUUCUUGCAAAGCAUUGUUGUUAUCUUCUCUAAUGAGUUGUAGAUCAGUUACGUUAGCGUUCUCUCUUUUACAAAGAUCUCAAUCCUCAGGUGGGAACAUAUAUUUUAUAACGAAAAAAGAAUGUAGGCAAUUGUUGAAAAAACAUCAUAAAAUUGAAAAAUAAUAGAAGAGUUGCAAUCCAAUUAGAUAAAAAAAAUCCUAAAUGAAUUAGAGAAAUAUAAGAAAUUUCAAACGGUAACUUAUAGGUUUUAUUUGAAAGUUUUUCUAAACUCUAAUGGAUAUGAAAUUUUAAUCCUAAAAAAAAUUAUAUAUAGCCAUUGGAAUUUUCUACAAAAAUUCCAUUCUGAUUUAAUUUUUAGAUUGAAAAUUAUAUCAAUUAAUAUGAAGUUACAAAAUUUUUUAAAAAAAAUUGCAUCAAUCUUUCUAAAUUAAAAAAAAAAAACUCAUCAUCAAGUUUAGAAUUGUUUUUACCUCAAUUUCAUGGAUAUUCAAUCCAAACUCUCCCGACACUUUUUUCUUUAUUCGCUUUAAGUGUGUAACAAUUCAGGAUAUCAACCACGGUCUCUUCAUUUUAAAAUUUGUAUAAAAAUUAAUAAUUGAUAAAUUAUUUCUCUUUCAUUAACUUUAAAUAUUUUUUGCAAAUCUCAAACUUAAUUCUUGCAUAUAUGUCCAAUCCAUAUAACACUUGAAUACAUAUGCCUUUGUGAUAACAAUAAAGUUGUAAUUAAAAAGAAUCAACCUACUUUAAAUUAAGGGUUAAUUAUAAAAAAAAUUUCUUAUAGUUUUAUCUUCAUUUCAUUCCCCUUUUAUAUUUUCAUAAAUUAUAUUUUUUAUCUUGUAAUUUAUAUGUUCAAUAACAAUUUAUAUCCUCAGUAAUGUAUUAUAUUUCAUUAUGGAUAGAAAAUGUAAUUUAUAAAAGUAUGAAGAUAAAAUAAGAUAUAAAUCAAAUUAUCAAAGUACUAUUUUUCUAACUAUGCCUUAAAUUAAUAAAAAUAAAUUUAUUCAAUAGUACCAACCUCUUUCUUAAAAAAUUACACUGAAAGUCUAUCUUAUUAAUGUCAACACCAUCAAUGGUACCAACCUCUUUCUUAGGUGGUGAAUAGAAACAAAUCCUGAUAAGGAUAUUUAUCAUUAUCUAAUAUAAAACUAGACACAGUCUGCAGCAGCCUGUAUCCAUCCAGUUUGAGGUCCUCUUUCUUCACGUAAAAAAUCAAGAAACGCAGCUUACGUGUUGUAGGCUAUGGAGAUGUCUGCUUGAAUCUGAUCCAAAUCCAGUCCAGGUUCUGUCCAUUUUAAGGUUUUAAUUUUACAAAAAGAAAGACAAGGAAAAGUAAAAAAUGUUCCUUUUAGACGAGUUGAAAUUUUAGAAAGAAAUUUUUUUUGUGUUUUUAAAAAAGUUUGAAAAAGUUUUUUUUAUUUUAAAUUAAUAUUUUUUGAUAUUUUUAGAUUAUUUUGAUAUGUUAAUAUUAAAAAUAAUUUUAAAAAUUAAAAAAUAUAUUAUUUUAAUAUAUUUUUAAAUAAAAAAUAUUUUAAAAACAACCGGCACAUGAAUUUUUAUUUUUUUUAUGUUUUUUAAUAAUAAAAAAAAUAGCUCUGGAUGCACAGCUCAAAACUUAAGAUUCCAACGCUGUGUCCUUUUCUAUGCUCCUAUAAGAAGUGAUUUAUAUGCAACAUUUGGACGCACUGACAAAUGAUUUUUAACUUGUACGAUGUUAUGGACAGAUUGUGUUUGUUAUAUAUAUAAUUAUCAUUUAAAAAAAUUUAUUAAGUAAUAUAUCAGAUGACGAAAUUAAGGAUAUAAAAUAAUAUUACGAUAUAAAGUGUAAAUGUGUUUAGUAAGUUUAAAGACAAUGAAUUAAUUAGAAUGGAUCCUAUAGAAGAUUAAUUUAUAUCUUAAAUCAAUUUAAAAUAAAAAAUAUAUGGGUCUCAAACGCAAGGCACAAGAUAAAUAAAUAAAAAUUAGACAUGUAAAUUAAAAAAAUAAGAGAGAAAAAUAAAAAAAAAACUUUUUGAUUAAUAAUUUUUUUUUACUCCUCCCUCUUGGAGGGCAGUACUUCAACUUCUAAGUGUUUUUGUUAAAAAAAUAUCUCCCAAUAGCUUAAAGUAUUAGAUGAUCUCAAAUAUGAUUUAUAUUAUUUUUUAACACAUCCCCUCAAUGAAACUUUUGGACUUGAAAUUUACACUGGCUCAUAUUAUUUUAUAUUAUUUUUAUCAAAUAAAUAUGAUGUUGAUAUUUAAACUCGACCGUGGUCAGUAAGACUCUGAUACAAUAAAAAAUCCAAACCUAAUAACUUAAAUUAUUAAGUAAAAUUUCAGAAUAUAAUUUAUAUUAUUUUUAACACUAUACUCUUUUAAAUUUUUCUUCCUUUAAUUUUGUGUGCUAAAUAAGGGCAAAGGAGGUGAAAAAUUUACUUCACCUCCUUUCCUCUUGUACUAAACAUAAUCUAACGACGAAGUUACGAGGUUAACAGAGGUGAGGAUUUCUUUGAUUUUUUUUUAAAUAAACUAUAUAUAAAAAAUAUUUAUGCAGUAAAUUAUUUUUUAGAAUAAAAAAAUCAUUAAAUACAAAUAUAUAAAGAGAUUCAUUAUCGCUAAACAUCCAUAUGAAUUGUACCGAGAAGUAUAAAUAAGAAACGAUAUUAUUAUAUUCUUCUUUUAAUUAUUUAUUGAAUGAUCUUAUGCAACAUCUUUUCACCCACAAAAAUCUUCGAGUUUUUAACAAUAGCAUAAUAGCUUUGACUUAACUUUUAUUAUGUCAAUCAAUGAUAUAGUUUUAAAUAGUAUAAUGCUUUGCAAUUCAAAAUGUUUUUAAUUCAAAAACUUCAAUUCAUAUCUUAAAUAUAUUUUAUUCUAUAAAAUAUAUAGAUAAAAAAUAAAUUAAGCAUACAAUUACCAUUAACAAUUUUUUCAACUAAUAUUUAUAAAAAAUAAUUUAGAGAAUACCAGUUUAAAUUUCACAAGUUUUAGGUACUUAAAAUUUAUAUGUUGUUAAUUUAGGACUGUGAGAUUAGUAAGAUACAUAUAAAUUAAACUGAUAUUUAUAUUAAUAAAAAAAAUAUAUUUAUAAGCGGGGCGGCUCCACCACAAGUGUUAAUAAGCUAUUAAUUUUUAUGUCCUCACUUUAUAGUAGUUCGUCUAGAUUAAAUGUUAGAACAAUUUUUUUUUGUUAUCAAUCGAUCAUCACUUUUCCUUGUCAAUAGACCAAAUGUGGAAAUCACAUGUUCCUUUGUACAUGCAGAGGACUGUACGUAACCCUAGAGGUAGCUUAAUAGUUUGUGUUUUGAGUUUGUGUUCUAAUAAUUAUAAGUUUGAGUUUUUUUAGAAUUAAUAACGGUUUAUAUAGUUAUUAAUCUCAAAGCUCGUAAAAUUAAUUAAAGUAAACACAAAUUAGCGUAAAUAAAAAAAAUUAGAAAAGAGAGAAAAUUAAGAGGGUUAACAAUAAUUUGGAUUUCCAUGCUUAUCCAUUACAAGCUUGAUUGUAAGCGGGGCUGGCUAGAUUUUUUAUUUUUAUUUAAAAUAUUUUUUGUAUUUUAAAAUUAUUUUAAUAUAUUAAUUUUUAAAAACUAACUAUUACUAUAAUACCAAAAGCUAUGUAUGUAUAUAUAUAUAUAUUAUAUAUGAAGAAACUAAAUAAAGCAAUGUUUGAAAUGACCAUAAAUUUGUCGUUUUAGGCACAGCGAUUUCGAGACGAAAGGAAGUGGGUAGGCAAGCAACAUCAAUUUGAUCCGACUGGGAGUUCCACUUAUUGUGGAAAAUCUUUAAGGACUUGUGCGCUUAGAGACAAGUGAUGCAGAUACAGGCAACGAUCUUAUCGUGUUUAGCCAAAAAGGAGACAUUCUUUGUGGUCUGGAUAAUUUGCUCACACAAUCACUCUCCAUUUAUAAAAUUCCAGCUGAUUAAAGCUUGCUCGCUAGUGGAUCGGGAUUUUUAUUUUUAUUUUUAUUUUUUUACACGGUAGGAGAAAGCUUCAAAUUUCUAAGCCUGAAAUCUCUUUAAUUUUGAAAUCUUCAAGUUUAGCCAAUGGGCUGCUGUCGUCCACACAAACGUGUCAGGGUUUUGUGCCCUUUAAGUCCAAUAUCCGCUUAAUGGGCGGGAUGGGUUUGAUCAGAGCUAUGUUUUGAGGCUGAGUAUUGGGCUUCAGGUGGAGUUGUAAAAAUGGGCUUAGCCCAAGAUAUAUAAACGGUAGAAACGUUCAGAUUUUUUCUUCUUUAUUCGCAACACUGGAUAUGCACACUUCAAACCGGAAAAACAUAAAGCCAGAGUGAGCAUGGACAGAGAUCGAUUCAAACGACGGUCCAUGUUUCAAACUGCAAAUUUAAGUACAAUUCUCAUAAUUCACCGUUUCUAAUUUACAUUUUUAAAUUAUUUUUUUCAUUUUAAGAAGGUUUAACACGGAUUGAGACCAUAUUAUUCAUUGCAUUGACUCGUAUCCAAAAGCUCCCAUCAAAAGCAAAAUUAGCAGGUGGUGUUGAAUUCAACCAGGUAAAGGCAGCAGCUGCAAGAACUGGUGCUUCACAGGCUUGCAUCCUCAAAGGGCUGCAGUGCCAUGCCACUAACCGGUUAUUCACACAUCCCGAUCCAGCCAAUCUACCAAAACUGCUUUCCUAAAACGCAAGUGCUAUCACGCAUGAAUUGCAGAGCCCUUGCAGUGCCAACACAUCCUGUGCAAGAAGCACGGUAGCUUGUAAUAAGCAAAAUAUUACAACUUCAAAACAAAAAACCACCUUAUUUCCCCAUUCUUGCAGAAUAAUGAAUAGACUGUUUUUCAUCUCGUGAAGCAAGAGUUUGUAACCAAUCGAACUAAGAGCUGGAUGUCGCAACUCUGACUCAUUACAAAAUGAAUGGGGGAGAGACGAGAGGAGGAAGGUAAAGAACACAACUUAGGGUCCGCGAGCAGGGGUCAAACAGAAACAGGCAGAUGCCUGGUCUUCAGGUAUCAUCCCUCCUCCCUUGCUUGUAUCAACCGCUUCUAACAUUUUCACCACCUCAGCCAUUUCAGGACGUUUUUCUGCAUUUCCAUCCCAGCAUUUUCGCAUGACAUUUGCAAAAGAACUUGGACAACAUCUUGGAAUCUCUGGCCGUAAAUUCUGCCAAUGAAAUCAUGAAGCAUGAAUUUCCCAAUAUUUGAUGACCUUUGGCAGGAUGCUAGAUCUUAAGACCUCGAACAAAGUUUUAGCAAGAGAACAAAAUGUUUUCAUAAAAAGAUAUCAAUUCUCUCGAGAGCUUUACAGCUAACUAAGCUCAGCCUUUUCCUCCCUUGCUUGUAAAAACCAAUAAAGGCAUUUGAAAGCAUUACGAGGGAUAUCCAGUGAUGUCAAUUCCAUAUUGCCACUUUGCUAAAAGUAGCUGGGAUGCAUCAAUGCUGUACAAUAAAUUAGAUAGAAGGCCAUAUGAAUCACUGAGUUUGAAAGAAGAAAUGGACCUGAGUCAUUCAUGAACUGCUGACAAUGGCUCCCUCACUUGCGAGAUGCCAAAUCACAUGUCAUGUGGAUAACAAUAUGGUCACAAAAUUCUUUCCUAAAUCCAUUAAUUAUGAACGGUGAUAACAAUUACUUUGAGCCUCCUCAGGUCACCAUACAACCAAAAGAAAGAAAGAAAAGCACGAACAAGAAAGAUAAGAAGAAGAACUAGGCAUGAGGGCUUGCUUAAAUUACAAAACUAACCUGUCGAACAACAGCAGAGGAGACAUCAGCGAAGCUAAGAUUAGGGUAAGGCAUGUCACAACAAUAUAUUUCCCAUAAGCAGAUGCCAAAGCUGUAGACAUCACAUCUUCUGUUAUACGGUUUGCCAUCAAGAACCUGCAUAAAGUAUCAGGUUAGAUAGUUGCAAUUAAAUAACAAUUCAAAUAUGCAAAUUCAAUUGCAUCCCGUGUCCAUAUGGUUAUAAAUUUAUAAUUAACAGAAAAAACACGCCCUCACAGAUUCCAUAUUGAACAUGGCACAAGGAUUGAUUUUAUCAUCAUUACACAUCAUUUAUAUGCAUUUCUGGACUUGUUUAUAUAACCAAUCACUUGUUAAUAUACAAAAUUUUCUUCAUAAACCACUUCUGCCUAGGGAAGAAAAGGUUUUGUUAAAGCAUGAAAUACCUCUGGGGCCAUGUAUCCAAGUGUGCCAGUCUCACCAGUCAUCUCACAUGGAUUCUGAGCUUCAACACGGGCAACACCAAAAUCAGCAAUUUUGAGAUUUCUAUGAGAAUCUAGUAACAUGUUUUCAGUCUUGACAUCACGAUGUACAAUCUUCUUUGAAUGUAGAUAGCUAAGACUGCAAAUUAGUAAAACUAGUCUGUAAUUUCAUUUUUUAGGGAAUUUUUCAAUAAAAGAAAAUUAACAAAAACUAAAACUCACCCCUAGAGAGAUCCAAAGCAAGUUGGAUCACAACCUUAAAAGCAAGUUUUUUUCGACUAUUUCUUAUCAAGUAGUUUUUAAGCGUCCCACCAGGGAGAUACUCAACAACAACACAGCAUGCCCUAGCAGGAAGGGAGAUGUAACCAUCAGAUGGGUUUUUGGCAGGAAUUUUCAGGUUAGAAGUUCCCAUUGAUGCUCCAACAAACUGUUAAAAAAAUAAAGCAUCAGAAAUAAAAAUAACACAAAUGAUAAGCUUAUGGUAACAACUAGAAUGACUGGGAGGAUGAUCCUUCAAGCAUAUGGUUUCAACUCAAAAAUCUUGCUCAAGUAGAAAAGCAUUUUUCCCGUUGAUGUAUGUCAAAAUUUACAUAUAGUUUAUGAAUUCCAUGCACUAUGAUAAGAUACAGAAAUAUAACUAUGUUUAAAGCAAAGUGUCAAGAAAACCAUGCUUGCCAAGAGGAACCUGUAAUGCAAUUACUGGCAAGGUAAUACAAGAUGGACAAUUGCAUGACCCAAAAAAGCCAACUUUCAUGUAACAUGAUGCUCAUAAUAAAAUGAACAUAACAAGUUUAAGAAUGAGUUCGUACUUUUGUAACAUUAGGAUGGUCAAGCUUGUGCCAGACAGCAACCUCUUGCUGAAAUGAUGCCCGCACAGCAGUGGUUUCAGCAGUUGUGGCAAUACCAUCCUCCCCCCAGUCCAACAUUUUCACUAUAACAUCCAACAACAGUUCAGUGAGGAUCAACAUCAACAUGCACAGUGCUGAAUGCUAACAAUCUCUCCAAUUGAAACAGACCGCAGUUUCAUCAAUGCUUAUCAGGAGUUGUAGUGAAAAGAUUUUGCAGGCAUUAGAUAUCAAACAAACCAAUUCAGACAGAGAAUGGCAAAAUUUUCUGAACUUCCAAUGACUUCUUGAGCAAGACAAGGAGAAAUUAGAGAGGCACGUAAACAUCCUAAAAUCAUUGCAUGAUAGUCAAUGAUCAAAAGAUGAUAAAUUUCAAAGGCAUUGCAAAUUUAAUGAUCACAAGCUAAGUUCUUAUAAAGUUAUAAUGGAUAAUCCAAACGAGGAUGUCAGCUUAUGAAAUCCUUUUCUUGCGCCCCCCCUCCCAAACUAAAAGAAGAGAUGCUCCCACCUUCCAAGCCUGAAAUACUAAUGAAGAUGAAUGGUUUGCCUUGUUACUUUUUUCUGUUACCCCCAAUCCAGGCAGGCAGCUUAAAAGGGACGCAUUCAAAAGUAGCAUACAAAAGAAUACGCAAGGGAUAGGGAAAACUGUUUCCUAGGAUUAGCGAUAAAAUGACAAGGCAACAAAGGAAAUCCAUUUCAAUAUGUCGUUGCGAAUACAAUGCCUGGCAAAACUUUAUAUUCAUUUCCACAUAUAUGCAACAAAAUUUAGACCAUGUUAAUAAGCAGCAGUAUAAAGGCAACUCGUAACAAAGAUUUGGAGGACAGGCAAAACACAAUAUCCUUAUUUACUCUCUAGCAUGACCUUUACAGAAACAGAAACCAAACAAAAUUAAGAACUCUGAAUAUCAAAACACUAAGAACCAUCACGUAAGCAUGAAAAGACACGGAAAUACAAAAUGAGCGCUGGGAAACAGAGAUCAAUGACCUGCAACAUCUUGGUUAUCAUAAGUCCCACGAUACACGGUCCCAAAAGUACCACGGGCUACCUCGUGCCUUAUUUCCAAUUUAGACGAAUCAAUUUCCCACUCUUCUUUAGGCCUUUGGAUUUCGGUGUUCCUUGACCAGACCCUGCUCAAGUGCUUCUCAAGCUGUGCAUCCAAGCUUUUGAGAUCGAUUUUAUCAGCUCGAAAAAACAUAUCUUUGCUACUCACACCUCCUAUACCUUUCACCUUUGAAUUGGCACUACCUUCCUGGCUAUCCGGUUUCUUCUCUGGCAUGACAUCACCGGCAUCACCGCUUGUUUUUGAAUCCAUUGUAAAGAACCAAAUACAAGACAAUAGCCGUGAAUCCCAGAGACAACCUUAAAUUCUAGACGACAAUCCUAGAAAAGUAAAACAAAAAAACUUCAAUUUUUCAUCAUCAUACUCAUUGCCUUCGAAUUCCCAUGAACUGAUCAAGAUUUUAAGAUCAAAAAGGGAAAAGUUUCAAAAUUCUUAUGCAAUUACAAAUUAAAUGUGCAAAACAAACCCCUCCUAAGAUCAAAUUACUAAUCAAAGAUAGCAAUGAAAAGUUUUGAUCAAGUAGAAACCCAGUUUCACCAACCCAAAAUCCUAUUCAAGUUCCCUCCAAUAUUGACCUUAUAACCAAAAAAUUUCACUAUUUUGUAAAUAGAUUGCCUACCAAUCAGAAUUGAGAAUAAAAACUCUUUGUUAAUGAAUUGACCCUUACAUUGGUUCAAAAACUAAAUUUCCCAUCAUCGACUGUAUUUAUGUUUAUUUCCCGUAUCCGAACGAAACAAAACUGCGAACAAAAACAAAAGGUAAACCCUAAGAAAACGACCCAAUUCCCACCAUUAUCUAAACAAAGCCCAAUAAAAUAAGAAUGACCCAGAAUUCAAAAACUAGCAAAAUUUCGAAAAAUCAAAGCUUUAUGUACAAUAAAAUAAUAAUAAUAAUAAAAAACCAGCACGCAUGCAAGCAAGCAAAACCUAUAAACCGAAAAAAAAAAAUUAACCAAAAAAUGUCAAAGAAAGGGCAAUAAAGUUGACUUUGAAAUCUCUAGAAAGGGAUACGAAGAGCAAGGAUAGAGUCGGUCAAGGCUCAAUGAUAUCAUAUUCACCAUCAUCAACAUUCCCUUUGUUUUCUUCCACACAAUAUAAAUGGAAGAAGAGAAGAAGGUUUUUUUGUGGAUGGGAUUUCAAAGAAAAUUAUUAGCUUAGAAUAAUCGAACAAAAAAUAAAGCAACUGUUAUUAACCAAAUAGAGUGGAGAAGGCGUGGGAAGCGCCGAGGUUGGCAAAAAUACGGCCUGUUGGAGAGAGAGAGAGUGUGUUUCUAAAUAUAGCAUCGGAAAGUGUGUUUAAAAGAAAAGUAAAUCAAAGUACAAAACCAGUGUACGAAUACCAUGUCCCUGUGCACUCUGGUUUUGAUAUACACGAAAAACAAAUCGGACCAUCCAAGACAUGUUAGUAUAUCUCCAAGGAAACAGGAUCAAGUUAUAAAUAAGUUGGCUAACUUUACGAGUGAUUUGCAACCAUAAUUGUUCAAAUAAUCUUUAGUCCAAAUCGAUUUUGAUUCUAUAUGGGAUGGAAGUUUUCGAUAUGUCGAGUAUUUUUACAUUUUUCAGCGGAUAUACUACUAACUUGUCUUGGAUAUACGAUUAUAGGAAUAUGAAAAGUGAAGGGAUAAGAAAUGAUUUUCAGCCCUUUUUAUCUAGAAAAUCUAAAUCUAUCAUAGUGGAUUUUCGGAGCCACCAAACCACAUCUUAUCAGCAAGGAUAGGAUUUGUGUUUUUUAUACAUCAACUUCAAGAUAAUUGCUGCAAACAUCAUGAUGUUUUUUUAAGAAAAAAGAAAGUAAAACGUAAUAUGAGGAAUUAAUGUAAUGUUUCCAGAUUGAUAAAAUCAAAUUAUUAAAGUAAAAUAGUAAGUAAGAAGUCAAUUAAAACUUUUUACUUGAAUUGUGGCUUUGUACCACUUUGAUUCUGCUCAUUAAUUAUUUUUAAAGUAUUUUAUUUACAAAUAUAUUGAAAUAAUAUUUUUUAACUUUUUAAAUUUACUUUUAAUAACAUUAUAUUAAAAUGAUAAAAAAAUUGAAAUUAAAAAAAUCAAUUUUUUUAAAUACUCUUAAAGACAAAAAUAAACAGGUAAAGCUACUAUGAGCCGUAAAUAUUGAAAUUAGACAGUCACAUGUGAGAUCUUUUGUCACUGUCAAAGUCGAACAGUGAAUAUAUAUCUUAAUUAAUUUAUCGUAAAUUAACACAACAAUUACUAAUAUUCAGCUGGAUUCAUGUCCAGACUCGUCCGUCCUUUAAUUUCAUUGUAAAGACCAAAUAUUGUGGUAUUGCCAUCAACUAAAACAACAGCAAACUAGGGAUGUAUAAUUUAUAACGUUCUGUUAACAAGAGACACGAAUCUCAACAUGAGAAUGCUUGUAAAUAUAUUCUGAGUGGCUGCUUCUGGGCAUUCUGAUGAAGUUCUAUCAUUCCCAGAAGGGAAAACUGUAGACACGGAAUGCUUGGGUUGAGCUUAGAAGUUAAAUAUCUAAUUAUCAUGUCAAGAAAAAACAAUCACGCAUGCAUGCAUAUGUACAAGAACAAACGCCGGGGAGUUUUAACGCAGAUUUGAACUUUGAGUUGUUUCUCUAUCUGUCUUCUUUUCUUGAAGUUAGACGAACCUGGUCUAAAUUAAGCCAGGUAAAGUGAGAGAUUAACGUCCUUGAAGAAUUUAACCANNNNNNNNNNNNNNNNNNNNNNNNNNNNNNNNNNNNNNNNNNNNNNNNNNNNNNNNNNNNNNNNNNNNNNNNNNNNNNNNNNNNNNNNNNNNNNNNNNNNNNNNNNNNNNNNNNNNNNNNNNNNNNNNNNNNNNNNNNNNNNNNNNNNNNNNNNNNNNNNNNNNNNNNNNNNNNNNNNNNNNNNNNNNNNNNNNNNNNNNNNNNNNNNNNNNNNNNNNNNNNNNNNNNNNNNNNNNNNNNNNNNNNNNNNNNNNNNNNNNNNNNNNNNNNNNNNNNNNNNNNNNNNNNNNNNNNNNNNNNNNNNNNNNNNNNNNNNNNNNNNNNNNNNNNNNNNNNNNNNNNNNNNNNNNNNNNNNNNNNNNNNNNNNNNNNNNNNNNNNNNNNNNNNNNNNNNNNNNNNNNNNNNNNNNNNNNNNNNNNNNNNNNNNNNNNNNNNNNNNNNNNNNNNNNNNNNNNNNNNNNNNNNNNNNNNNNNNNNNNNNNNNNNNNNNNNNNNNNNGUUGAAAGUUUCGAGAGGUGUCUUCAGUUUACGCAGCCAGCAUCCUUUAAUUGUGCAUAUCAGGCAACAAAUUCAGACAAUCUCAAUUGGAAAAAAAGAAUAAAAACAAUGAGAUUUGUGGCAGUGGAUCUGUUAGGGAAGCGAGUGUAGCAAUUAGGUUUUGAAGCGUAAUGAUCAUUGUUUUUAAGAUAUUAAUUUUUUAUUAUUAUUAUAUUUGUUGUAGAGUUAAAAGUUAUACACAUCCAUGGUAUAGCACUAUAGCUAAGUCUUAAAACUCGUAAAGAAUAACUUCUAUAAAUUUUUUAAAAAAGUUUUAUUUUGUUUUCGAUGAACAUAAACAAAAAUUUUGUAAAGAAAAAUAGGUUGAGAAGAAUAUUAUUUUUUAAUUGAUUUAUGUCAAUAUCAAACUGAUAUUAUAAAAAAAAUAAUACAUUUUCAAACUAAUGUUUUUGUAGAAAUUUAAAGGCAUGCAUAGUGUCUAUAGAAUUUAAUUUAAAUGGCACACUUAGACCAAUAUAUAUAUAUAUAUAUAUAUAUAGAAUUCAGGAUGCAAUUUUUUAAUUAAACUAAAAAAAAUAACAUGACAAUAGGUAUCAUGCAUGAUUAAUUAAUUAAUUUUAAAAAUAAAAAUUAUUGAUUUGGAAUUUCUUUCCUUCCUAGUGUAGGAUAGAAUUCUUAAUUUUAUUUAUGUAACAUUCAAACUAUUAUAACAGUGGAGUUAUGCUUGAGCCUACAGAAUGAAAUUAUGGAUCGGAUUUUUGAAUGAGCAUGGAAUUUGCUAAGAUCACAUGCAUGUUCAUAAUAGUUUGAAUAUUAGAUAAAUAAAAAGAAUUCUAAGCCACGGUUAUUACCAUGCCAAUUAAACUAGUAAUUAUGAUAGAGCUUUGCCUGUGUUGAAUUCAAAGCCAUUCAUUCCAUGUGCCAUUUAUUUAAUGUCAAGUGUUAAUAAAAAUAUAUUAUGAUUGUUGCUAAAAUCAAGACAAAUAUCUCAUAAUAUAUAUAACAACGACACUUAAUAUAAGAGUCGUUAUAAAGUAUAUAUAUUAAAACAUUUAUUUUAGUAAGUUUCUUAGACAAAUUUCAUUGAGAGUUAAUUUUAUUGCAGUGGGGUCUUGUGUUGAAAGUUUCAAACAUGGCCAAAUUAAAGAGAAUUGAAGGGCAGGUCUUUCUGUUUUUUUCAAAAUAUUUUUUGAAUUAUUUUCAUUUAUAUAUUAAAUUAAUAUUUUUUAAAGUAUUUUUUAUGACUUUGAUGUUUCAAUAUUAAAAAUAAAAUAAAUUUUAAUUUUAAUUUUAAUAUAUUUUUAAUUACAAAAAUAUACAUAAACUAUAUCACAUUAUACACAGCUCAUACAGAGAGAAUAGAUUAGACUUUUAUAUGGGUUAUGUUGAGACUAUUUAGUAUUGUGGUAGUAAUUUUUAUUUAAAAAAUAUAUUUUUUAAUUUUUAUUAAUUAAUAAUAUUUGAUCUAAAAAUAAUAUAAAAAUAUUUUUCAAUCACAGAAACAAAAAUGAAAUUGGUCCUGAAGCUUCAGAUUUUCAAUUGGAGUUCUCCUAUUCCUGGAUCUUGAUAGACUUUAUCAACGUUUGUUCACGGGCUUUACUCCAUCAUCUUCAUUGUUGAUUUCGAAAGAUUCAUGUGCCUACAGGUGUGCGUCUUUGUUUUCUGGGUUAACAACAAAAGUGCCUCUUGAUAUAUAUAUAUAUAUAUCCUCGCUAACAAUGCUACUCUUUGCUAGAUUGUUUGGAUCAACUUUAACUUUAAUCUUCUUAUCUGAUAGUUUUGAUAUUGUUGCUUUUUCGUUCAUUUUCUCUUUUGAGAAUAGUUCCUAGAUUCGAUGGCAUGCACAAGAAAUUCUAGCAUGAGAUAAUUACGACAAAAUGAAAUCAGUAAAAAUAAUAACAAGCACGAAUAAGAGAUAUUUUAAAAAUAAUUAAGUAUUGUUCAUGAUUAUUUAUUUAUUUGUAUAUAUUAUUCUUGAUUUAUUUGAUUAUAUAUAUAUAUAUAAAUUUUUUUAUUUUAACUUGAAUUUUUUAUACUAUAAAAAUGCAUUGAAAAAUCCUGUAUUUAUAUAUUUUUCUAUAAAAAAUAAAAAUAUUUAACCCUUAAAUAAUUGUGAAUUGAAUCGUAUAACUAGCUAGAUAACUUAACCUUGUGUUUAUCUAUUUGACAUAUAAUUAUUUGAAAUACUUUUAAAUGUGAUAAUAUUGAGUAUAAAGCUAAAAUAUAUGAGGUUUAAAGAAAAAAAGAAAAAGAAAUGCGAUGUCAUAAAAAAAAUGUCAAGCGAUAUUCAUAACAAGCCAGACAUGAUUAUUUCUUACAUCUAAAAUGCAUUGCUAGCAAGAAUUCAUUCUUUUUUUUUCUCUAGACCAGAAGGCCAAGAUUUGACAUGUCGUCUACUACUACUACGAGAAAUAAACUUAGGAGUCAAGGUAAAAAAAAUUCUGGAAAGAAGGUUUUUUUUUUUUUUUAAAAAAAAAGGGUUUGAAAUCAACUCCUUAACAACAACAAGCCCAAAUAAAUGAUUCCACGAGAAUCAAACCAUUGCCCGGGUCGGAGGAUUGCAAGAUCAACAGAGGGUCAUGGGCCUGUGUAGUGUUUCCCAUGAGUUUUCUUCAGCAUUCAUAUUUUUCAAGUACAAAAUGAACUCGGGCUCCCAAUUAUUAACAUGGCAGGCAACAGGACACGAGUUUCCCAUGAGUUUAUUCGUAUCAAAAAUGGGCCUAAUGGGUUUUUCAAUUACCAUGAUUGGACUCGUAAGACAGGCCCAAUAGUACAGGACUCCUAGAAGCUGAAGGCAAUGGACAUUUAUUAAAGGAUUCCAAGAACAUUCCAAGUACAUUGAAAUGAAGGUUUCCCUGUUUCAGUUAAAUCUUUUUUAAAGAAAUCAUGCCCCCAUCAAAACUCAAAUUAAUGGCUACCUGACGGUGGCGGACGGAUUCCGAUGAUCCAACUCCACGUCAACAAAUACAGUGUGAAUAUAACUGGCACUUGCAAUCUAAAUUUUGGCGUGAGUGCAUUGUUCAUCACACAUUAUUUCUCUCCUUCGCAAAAAGCCCAUCCAAAUGGAUUUGUAAUUUUACUCCUCCGUAGUUCGUGGAAGCUCACCAGCCUGGACGAACUAAAAGUUAGCACUCUGUUUUUUCAUCCUCGUCCGGUAGCCUUGUCUGUUUGGAGAUCAGGAAAGUUCCUUCAGCAAGAUAUCAAGGAAAGAUCCAAAAUCCUGACUAAACCACACAGCUAAAACAUUAAUUAAUAAAGCCAGUCGCCAGAAAAAGUUUCUAGCAAAGCCCGCCCCACGACAAGAUACAAAUGUUUUGAGGAGCUGGCCGUCUAUAUAUAUAUAUAUUUUUUAGUAAGCUGUAGUCACUAGUAAGACACUGCCUCUCAUGAUUACUGUACCCGUGACUUUUCUUAUGGUCGCUUGCAACUGCAAGAGCAUCCCAAAUUAAACAAUUAAAGUCUUGAGUAGUUGGUCAACUAAACUUUUGUUUAAUUCACAGUCUGACAUUCAAGAAAGGUCUUAAAAACCACAGGCCAUCUUCUUAGUUUAUACAUAAUUACUAUAAAAUUGCUUAACUUGGAGAUUAAAAUAUAUAAAACAUGUGUAGCGUAGUACUCGCCACUAUCUUCCACUGAUUUUCUUUCCUGCUACGUGUGUUACUUAGGCGUUAAUCUCAAUGUUAGCAAUACUGUCAAUAUUGCAGAGUCUGAUAACUAUGUGAAAACAAAGCUGUUCUUUCCCGCAAGAACAAUAGAACAUGCUAUAAACUAUAAAGUACGCAUGUUAGUCGACACUAUGAUUUUUGGCAUGGAGUUCAUGUUCCAGAGAAUGUGGGGAGUUGGGAAAGAACAAAUAAUUAAUGGACUCCUAUCCAUAUUUAUCAUUAUCUCAUGAGCUGCUUGCUUUAAUUUGCCUGAGCCUGUGUUAGGUCUGGGCUUUCAUACAAGGAUGGGGUCUCACGUGAAACACCGAUCUUCAUCCUUGAGGGACCACAAGCACCCUCCCUCUUUAAGGACCCUCCCCCAUUGUUACUGCUACACACCCAACUCUGGGAAAGUGAACGGCUUCUGUUAGAUGAACUUAAGAUCAUAGAGGCUCAGGUAGUUUACUGGCUUUUCAAUGCGCAGCUUAACUCAUCCACCAUGUUGAAGGGGCGUAAAUAUGAGUGGGUGAUCGAGAAACGAGGGUUUUAAAACUUUGAUGUGAAGGGCCAACGAACACUAUAACUAACGUCCUCUGUAGAUGUUUUCUUGCUCCCAGUGCACAAACCAUGGAGUGAUCAGGGUUCGUUCUUGGUUUGAUUUGAAAAUAAGAAGCAACAUAUAUAUAUGAUUGAAUUGACGUUAAUUUUUUUUUUUCAUGUCCGAAUCUAUAUUACACUAAAACUAUGAUUAGAGUUUAUGUUUUUUUAUUUUUUUUCUUUCAAAGAAUAUAUGAUUCGAACCAAAUUCAUUUGGGACGAAGAAAAUAGUAAUGUUAAUAUAAUUACAAUGAAUUAUUAACCAUCCAUGCAUUUUAAAUUAUAAUAAAAAAGUUUUAAUAGUUUCUUUUAAGAGUUAUUUAGAAGUGUAGUAGUAAUUAUUUUUUAAAAUAAUUUUAAAAAAUAUAUAUAUUAAAAGAUAUAUUUUUUAUUUUUUAAAAUAUUUUUGAAAUUGACAUAUUAAAAUACUUUAAAAUAAUAAAAUAUAUAUAUAUUUUUUUAAAAAAAUACCAUUUGGCAGCCCUUAAUUGGAGAGGGUCCAUUGACUGUUAUCGGUAGAAAACUGGUUAAGGUCUAUCACUACUUCUGGUGGACCAGAAACCUACCUGAUAACCUACCUUUUGAAAUGUUUGCGCGCCAAUGGCUAAUAUCCCUAGCUGUCACAAUCGUCAGCCACAAUUAUCCUUUUAAUUUAACGGUGUUUAUUGACCAGUAAGGCUACACCUUACAAGCAUCUGGAUUGAUCUUCCUUAUCUAAAAAUAUAGUACUGUCUGUAAUUUAAUUUUCACGCGAACGACCUGAUUAAAUUUUAAAUUUAUAUUUUAUAAAUUUUAAAAAUAUUAAAAAUUUAUAUAAUUAUUAAUUUCAGAAUUUAUAAAAUUAGUUAACAUACAUACAAACUAAUUCAGACAUUUACAUUAUUAAUAAUAAUAAUAAUAAAAAAAAACAGUAACACUAGUAGAUAUUUUGGAUUUGCAACAUUGAAGUAAAAAUCUAAUGGUCACGGGAAGGAUAUGCUCACCCAGUUGACAUUCAUUGCCACCCAUUUUUUCCCAGAUCAAUACGGCAUCGUGACACUUUCAUAUAAUACUUAGAACUAUAUACAUUACCAGAUUAUGGCACAUUGCUGGUAGCACCAGCAUCAGGAGUAUCACGAGCAACAUGUUGACCCUGUAAAUGAUGAGCCAAUGUGGCUUUGGUUCUGUAAAAAAAAAAAAGUUGAAGUGAGCACAAAUUAAUCUGAAGACCUCCCAUUUGUAUGUAUUUUACUAUAAAUCAUUAUAAAUCCUAACUGGUAUUAAUUAGUAUUGUAAACACAUCAAUGUAGGAUUGCAUUCAUAAAUAUUUUUAUUUAAAUAUGAACAAAUUUUAAAAACUAACUUUUUUUUUAUUUGUGUCUCAAAUAAUUAAGAUGAUUUAAUUAAGAAAUUAUGGGCUAAUUUAAUAUAAACUUUCAUUAAGAAAAACACAUGGAUAAAUUGUGAGGGAAUUAGAAUUUCGGAGGGCGGUUGGUUUUUUUAAUGAAAAUCGGUGUAGAAUCAAAUGAAUGUACUUGAGAAAUCAAAGCACGAGAGGGUUACUAUAUCUACUACAAUUCAUGGCAAUAUAUAGUCUUGGUGCCCCACUAAUCAACCCUCCUCCUGAAUCUUUAAACAUUUUGUGCUCGAUCAAUCUCUUCAUCGUCACUAUUAACAUGGGGUUAUGAUGUUUGUAUGAAAUGUUUACACGAAAUCAUUGACAAUAUCAUCUUGUCUUGUCAAAGAAACAUAUCAAUUUAAUAAUAAAUUAAACUAUUGUUUCGACUGAAAACAACCUCCACCCAGCUCAUCCUAGUCGCGAUCCUCUCUCCAGCUCAAGAGUUUCCUUUUUCGCACACUAAAUACUACGCGAUACAAGUAGUGGAAUCUAGGUUUUACAAAUCAUAUGUUAUUACUUACAAAGCUUGCAACUAAAACCCACUAUAUAUAUAUAUAUAAUAACUACAGCUGCAACUCAAUAUAUUUAAAAGUAUAAUAGUGAUUGUUUUUUAAAGUAUUUUUUAUUUAAAAAUAUAUCAAAAUAAUUUUUCACAUUAAUGUAUUAAAAUAAAAAUUUGACAAUCAAUCCAACAAUAUUUUAUAUUAUUAAAAUAAUUAAAUUAUAAAAAACAGAAAAAAAAACUAUUUUAAACACAUCUCCGAAUAACAAUCUUCAAAAAAUAAGAAUUUUAAUUUCGGGUCAUAGAUUAAAAAACACAACAAUUAUUUGAUUUUAUUAAUUCGAUAAUUAAAAAAUAGCCAUGGAAACUCCAAUAUCAGUACCAUCACAGACAUAAAUGUCACGAUCUUUUGUUUCAAACAGCUGUCAUGAAUUUUUAUAAUUUAAUCUCUUUUGCGAUGAUCUUGGGAUAAAGGUUUUUAUGAUCUCAAUUAUUGACGAAUAUCCGACCAAUAAUGGCAUCGUAACGGGGUAAUAAAAAGCUGUAUCUGUACAUAACUUGCUUCGUUUUAAAUUCAAAUAUCACAUUUUCUUUACGGUUUUUACGGUGACAUAAUUAUUCUCUGAAAAGUUUUUUUAAAAAGGACGAUCCAAAGUUAUAUUUGAUUAUAGAGUUUUGCACGUAACUAGAAAAUAGAAAUGGUCGAAGCAUGCAGUCAACUGUGUCGGAAUUAUGCAAGCAUGCACAUAAGAAAAACAUAAUUUAGACAGCUGUUCAUCAUGUAUUUACGAAGCUAGACAUUUGUUCAUAUACAUGUAUAAAUUAAUGCUCUCGAAAAAAUAAAUCACUCUUCGGAAAGGCAAGGGAUUCCUUAGAGCACUCGUCAAUUAAAUUCGAAGGUGGAGGUGUGUAUUGUUUUUAAAAACCGACAGAAACAUCAAGCCCUGAAUGGCAUGCAUGACAUUGUCCGAGAGACAGGCUUGCACCUCUUGGCAUUCCGGGGAGCUUGCGUUUGUUGGCAUUCCGGGGCUCUAUACAAGGAUACGAGGGGGUUACUAUCUAUAAUUUGAUGUCUGCCAUUUUUAUUUUAUUUUUUUGGCUUCGAAUAAUUAGAGUCCUGAUAUUGUAGAUUUCUGUACUUGACAAUUUCCUCACCUUCAUCAACACAGAAUUAUGUUUUUUAUUUGGAAUGUUUGCACGGGAUGGUUGGCAUCACUAAUUUAUACGGUAUCUUCAAUAUUUGUUAUUGUUUUAACUAAAACCAAUCUCCUACCACUCUCACUUGUCAAAUGCGUUUGUUGUUAUUUCUAGAGUGGGGAAGAAUUUGGCUUUUUUCUCUGCUAGAUUAAAUAUAUUAAAAAGUGAUGAAUAAAGAUUUUAUCGGUAUGCCUAAUAUAUCUAAUGAGUUAAUAAUUUUUUUGUUAUAUGUUUUCACUAAUAGAAAAUAUCUUAAGAAUAAAAUGAGUGUACCAAAUAUGUUAAAUUUAAAGUAUUUAGAUUUAACACUUAACUUGUUAAUAUGAGCUUGAUAUACAUUUUAGUCUAGUUGAUCUUUCAUUUCAGAGGUAAUGAUUCCUUUAUGUACAUAGAUGUGCUUAAGAUCUUUUAAGGGAUUCUUCAUUCUUGUCAUCUCAUUAAUGAUAUGUAAGAAAUAUUUGUCUCUCGUUAAAGUUAUGAACAAAAAACUUUUCAAUUCUUCUUUUUCCUGAAAACAACAAAGUUUGGGUGUCAUGAAAAUCGCCUGAACCAUAUAGAAAAAAUAUUUAUAAUCUUCAUUCUCUAAGACAUACAUACCCGAGAUUAUAUUUUUGUAUAAUAUUAUUGUAUUUUUUUCUUUACAAAGAUACUUAUCUGAGUAUCUAAGAGUUCCAACACCCACCAAUUAGAAUUUUUUGCAAGUAUUAGCUACAAGUCAUCUUGACUUAUUAAAUAUCAAGUACAAGUUAUCAAUCAUUUUGGCUAGAAAAAAUAAAUAAAAUUGCUAUGACCAAUUAAUUAAUCUAGAAGCCUUGUUUUUAAAUUAGUUAGAUUUUUUUUUAUCAUCAUGACAAGUUUAACCAUAAACCUGUAUCAUCAAACAUAAACCAAAUAAAUUGGACAACCCAGCUAUUUUUUUUCAACAUCAUUUACUACUGGGUUUUAAAAAAUCCAUAAAAUAAUUUACCUGUUAAUUACUAUUAAGUUUUAUUUAUGAAAAAUUUGAAAUGUAUGUUUUUCAUGUUGAAUUCAUGUAUUUAAGAAAAUAAACUCUAUUUAAGAAAAUAAACUCUAUUACAUGAUGAAUUAAAGGUUCGAAUGAUUAUUUCCAAAUUCUUAUUUUAAAAAAUUAGACAAGGCAGAUACUCACAAAUUCCAAAUCUAGGCCACAUAAAAAAAAGGAGAAAAAAAUAUAAUACCUAAUGCAAAAUUACUUUAUGUUAUUUAAAUAAUCAAGUAAAAAAAUAAAAUAAACGAGGCUGUUUUUAAAUAGCAAUAUAAACAAAAAAGAGAGAAUUCCAAGUUGAAAUGAAUAAAAACCAACUAUAUAAAUGUCAAUCGUGCAAUUCGAUAAGGAUACACCGAUAUCAAUAUUACAGGCAACUUUCUUCUUUUUUCUUAAUUAUAAAAUAACUGUCAUGUAUUAAUUUAUCAUUUAUUAUUUUCUUGGAUGGUAUUGGAAAAAAUGUUUUUAUCAUCUCAGUCACCGAUGAAUCUGACUAGUAACGGCAUCAUAACGGGGCUAAUAAAAACCUUUAGCUGUACGUAUCUUACCAAUUAUAUAUAUGCAGAUUUCAUGUUUUUUUCUUGUUGUUGCUUAAAAAAUGACCCAAUUGUUGUUAUUAUUAUUAGUAUUAAUAGGAUCCUAUACUUUAUCUACAUAUCAUUAUAAAAUAGAAAUGACCUAAGACAAUUAGCCUUGGUUGCGAUUUGAUUUCUUACCAUGUGUAUCUGUUUUUACCGAUAUCACCACAUUAAUAUUAAUAUGAUAUACAAAUAUAUAUAAAAAUUAAUUUUAAAUAAAAUAAUUUAAUUUUAAAAAAAUACAAUUUAGAAUGCAAUUCUAUACCAAAAAGCAAGCAUGUACAUGGAAGACAGAAAUUAGACAGUGAUUCCUAUAUGGUUAAAUUCACUUGUAAAUUCAAAAAUUUUCAAUAUAAAUUUUAAGAGGUGUAAUUUAACUAGUCAGGUUUUAAAUUUACUUUUUAAAAAUUAUUGGUUAAAGUCUCACAUAUCUUAAAAUCACUAGAAAUUUAUAUAAUUAUUAAUUUUAAAACCUGUAAAAUUAGUCGAAAUAUGUUAAGUUGAUUCAAAUAUACAUAUUAAUAAUAAUAAAAUAAUAAUAAAAAGCCACAUGUAAAUUCAUGAAUAGGCAAUCAAUUUCAUUAUAUUCGAAAAAUAAUUACUCCGCAAAAACAGUAUUAGUCAAUAGCAGUAGACCCCAAGUAAAAACAACUUUAAUAAUUUUCAAUAGAAAAACGGAAAAAGAGAAAUCUCUUACAACAGUAAAGAGAGAGGAUACGUUACUUUUUUAAAAGUAAAAGGUAAAUCACUCCUCCGUCAGAUUCUAGAGGGAUUUAUUUAUUUAUUUAUUUAUUAAAAACAGAGACAGAGACAGUGACACACAGCCAAGUACCUGAAAUAGGAUAGGAAGACAGUUGUUGGCACUGUGGGGCUGGCUAUUAUCUAUGGUGGUGGGUUGUGAGAGUUGAGAGAGUGUGCUGGGUAGAGCCUAGAGGUGAGGUGAAGGUGGUCAAUAAAAAGUUAUCUCUACGAGAAAAAUCCACUCUCUCCCACUUUCCCGCUCCUUCUCUUGAAUCUUUUUCUUUCUUUAUCCCCUUCUUUCUAGACAAAAACAAGAGAAGAAAAGAAAACAAACGAAGUGAUGGAGAGCCAAUGGAGAGAACCGAAACCAAAACAAAACGGUAGUUGUUGCCUGUCGGUGUAAAUUCUUCUCUUCUCUUCUCUCCUUAGCUAUGCGGAGCAGCUUCUUCUCUGGCAAUGGAUACCCCAGAGAAGACCCAGAUCACCUCUCCUCUUUCUAAGUUCGAGGUAAUUCCUUGCCUCUCUUAUUCUGAUCUCUCCGACCCCUUUGCAUUCGUGAAUCGUGUUUUUGGUCUUUUUGAUUCAAUGCAUGUGCUUGGGUUUGGUGUCUUAGUGGGUUGACUUGCCUGUGUUUUAUCAGAAAAGACUCACCUGGGUUUUUCUGGGACCAGAGUCCUGUCUUGUUAGUUUUCUCUGUCUGGAUUUUGAGUUUCAUGUGGUUUACAUCUCUAAUUUAGGUUCAAUCUUUACAAUUUGGUUCUUCCUCGUGUUACCUUCAUGUCGCUUGAAAUGCUAUGAACUGCGAAGAAGCAUUUCAAUCUUGAGAUCUUAAUUUACUGUCAUUUUCGUGAAAGAAAUAAAAAAUUUCUCCUGAUUUAUUGGGAUCUAUUUGGUGUUUAUAACGACUUUUGUAAAAUUCUCUCAUUUUAUUUUUUAUUUUUAUGGUCAGUGUAAGAAGGAUACUGUAUUUUUUUUUUUAUCUAUCAGUAAUAGUAACCCUUCUGUCUGAACGAAUUUACUUAAUUUGAUUCUAGAUCAGUAAUUUGGGAUCUUGUAUUCGUUCCAUCUGGUUGCUUCUUUGUUCAAUGAUUGACAUGGAUUUUUGCUUCUGGGUGCAGGAUUCACCUGUUUUUAGCUAUAUCAAUAGCCUUUCUCCUAUCAAGCCAGUGAAGUCCAUAAACAUCGCCCAUACAUUCCACUCGCUUAGUUUUGCAUCCCUUCCGUCCGUCUUUACUUCGCCCCAUGUCAACUCUCACAAGGAAACUAGGUUCCUUAAGAGGUAAAUGACUUGCUUUCUUGACCAUCCUCCGGUCUGGACUACAAUAAAAGCAUAUAUACUUUUGUUCAACUUCACUCUUCUGUUUUCAGGCAUAACUAUGCUGAUCUCUCAAAACCAGAGUUUUCUUCUGAAAAUGGGAAUGAGGCUUGUAAUGAUGAAAGGGUAGCUGUGGAUGCGGCUCAGCUUUAUGAUAAUUCGUCUGAGCUACAGGAGAGUUUUGAUCCUGGGGUGUCCAUUAGAGAGGCCUCAGUUGAACCUCCUAGUGAACAUUUGAAGCUCGCAAUUGAACUGCCACGGACGUUAAACUAUGAUUGUGGUACCCCUGAUAGUGACCAAACACCUCGUUGUGGUACUCAGACAGGUACCGUGUCCAAAUCUGAUGGCACAAUGGCGUCACUUGUUCCAUUUACUGAUGUGGCUUCUCAUAAAGAUUCCUCUGAAGGUCAAGUGCAUUUAGCAGGGUUAUACAAGAUUGAGAGUAAAAAAGAGGCUACAGAAUGUGACUGGGAGAAUUUUAUAUCAGAUUCUGCUGAUCUGUUAAUUUUCAAUUCUCCCAUUGAUGCAGAGGGUUUUAAGGAGCUUUUUCAGAAGUCACCGAACCCUGUUGUUGGAUUUUGCACCUCUUUUAGUGAGGUGCAAAAAAUGCAAACAGUCAAUCCUAUUGGUCCUGGUGAACAAAAUGAGAAGGAAGACCCCUUCACUCAACCUGGGGAAACCAUUGAGCUGACGCAAAUGGACCCAACACAGGACAAUCUUGCUGCUAAUAAGGAUCCAAAUAAAUACAUAAUCAGCAAUCCUUCUAAGGUAAAAAGAUGCAGCUCAUAUCUGUUGCCGAUAUCUGCUGCAUAAUUUGCAUCUUUCUAGUUGAUGAAAUAGUUUUGAUUUAUUUGUUUUACACUUAAUUGUUAGUUGUGUCAUGCGAGCAUGAACUCCCUUCUACUUACUAGUAAUUGUUCGUGUUGAUAUACCCAGCAGGAAAAGAAUCAAACUCUUAUAAACAUCUUGAAAGUGAGCACAGCAACCUUUUGUGCUUGCAACUCCCAGGGAAGCUAGGCAGGUGUAAAACAAAUGGGUCAUGCUGCACCAAGCACGGGCAGCCUGUCAGCUACUAUUCCAACCACAACACUACUGUGGAACCUAAAAAGCAUCUCCUGUUUUCUACCUUUAAACUUGUACUAAAAAAGGCCUUCCCAACCCAUAUUCAAUUUUAUGUUUACAUGUUCCACUAAUCAAAAUUUUGUGGAACAUAAAAUAUAACCAUGCAGAUAUAGAAUUGGCAAACCAAAAUUUUGUGCCAUUAAUCAAUCUGCAAUGGAUAAACUUGUACCAAGAUUUGAUUUGUAUUUCUUAUGGUGGCAUGAUUUCCUUAAUAUGCAGCAUCAAUUCCGUUGCAUUUCAAUUCCUAAAUAUAAACACUCUGUUCAAAGUUUUCAUGCUCUUUAAGAUUGACCCCCUUGUAAUUUUGAAGAUUUGUAUUUUACUUGACCAAAAUUGUUUUCUUCUUGUUCUCCAAUUCAUAACUUUUGAGGAACUCAAUGACUUUUCUGACAACAGUCCAAUUAUUUUAUGAUCCUGUAGGCUGUUUCUAAUUUGCAUCGUGGCAUGCGAAGGCGCUGUCUUGACUUUGAAAUGGUAGGAGCCCGUAGGAAGAACAUAGAAGAUGGUUCAAGCUCUAGUUCAGUGGGGGUGCAGUCAGAUGAGAAAAUUACUUACAAAAAUACACAAUUGGUGCCUUUUAAGCCCAGCAGUGAUUCUUCAAGAUGCAUUUUACCUGGAAUUGGUCUGCACCUAAAUGCUUUGGCAAUAAAUUCCAGGGAUAGCAAAAAAAUCAAGCAUGAAACUUUCUCUUCCUCCAUUACUUUGCCUGGUUCUGCUGCCUCCUUUCACUCCCCAACAAGUGGUCAAGAGCUUGAUGAAUCAUUGGCCUUAGCGUCUAUGGAAAGAGACAUGGAUCCCAGUGACAAUGUUGUUCCAUUUGUGGAAGAUUUCAGCCAGACUAGCCCAAAAAAGAAGAGGCAUGUUAUUUGACAAUGUGUUUCCUGUACAGUUAUUACCUAAUAACUCUUACACUUAUUAGCAUGUUUAUGCAUCUCUCACGUUUGAAUGUCAUGGAUAUUAAAUUUUAUUUCCAGGCGUAGGCUGGAAGGAGAAGCCGAGGCCUGCAAGCGUUGCAACUGUAAGAAAUCAAAGUGUUUGAAACUGUAAGUAGUUAUCUUCUGAAAUUUAAUUCAAUCAGGGAUGUUGUUUCCAGCUAGUGACCCAAAUAAAUAUAAUCGGAUGUGCUAUUCAAAAAUAGAUCUCUGUGCUUUGGUGUCAUCACAAGCUAUUUUUUAUCCCGUGUUGGGCAAGAUUUAACAGUUAGACUGCUGUUAUAUCUCAUAUGACUUCUCUUAUCUAUGGAAGUAUAUGCAGAAUUAUUUAGGGAAAACGAUCUUUAUCAAUGAAGAUCCCUGUCCUCAAGGGCCCUUACCAUGAACAGGGUCCUUACAUGAACCAGGCUUCAAACUUGGAUCUAAUAGAUCAUCUUAGUUUUCAAUUUGAUUAUAUCCUCCUCUUGUUUAGUAUGCUGGAGGUGAAUGCUUAAGUUUUUUCUUCCCUUCCCUUUCCUCCCUCAUUUAUUUGACUCUUGGCAUGUCUAUACACAUCCUUUAUCUGGUAUCAUAAUGAUCAUAUAUCAAUAUGCACACCAUGCAGGUACUGUGAAUGUUUUGCUGCUGGUGUCUACUGCAUAGAGCCAUGUGCAUGUCAAGAUUGCUUCAACAAGCCUAUUCAUGAAGAUACUGUUCUUGCAACUCGCAAACAGAUAGAGUCUCGCAACCCACUUGCAUUCGCUCCCAAAGUGAUUAGGACAUUUGAACCUGCACCUGAAAUUGGGGUUAGCUCAAAUCUGAUCUUACCUUUUGCUUAGGCAAAAUAGUCAAACUUUUAUUUUAACUUGAAUGCUUCUUCGAUCUAGGAUGAGUCCAGCAAAACACCUGCUUCAGCUCGGCAUAAAAGGGGAUGCAACUGCAAGAAAUCAAGUUGCCUAAAGAAAUACUGUGAAUGCUAUCAGGUAGUUUCCUUGGCAUAUUCUGUGUGCUUUUAAUGUUUAAUAUAAACUGAUUCAUCAAAUCAUGGUUCUUUUGUGAAGGGUGGUGUUGGAUGCUCCCUUAACUGCAGAUGUGAAGGAUGCAAGAAUGCAUUUGGAAGAAAGGAUGGUAAGUUUUACCCAAAAGUUUGCUUUCAUACAGAUUAGCUACUUAGUACACAGGCAACCUUCCUCUAAUCAUGUAGUGGCUUUAAAUGAUCCAAGAAAUAAAUAAACUAACUUCUUAUUUUGGUCUUAUUAAUUCUAAAUAGUUUUGUGCCUUCAAUGACUUUCCAAAUCUAGGAUCUGCUUCAAUGGAAAUGGAAGACGAACAAGAAGAUGAAACAGAGGCAAGUGAAAAGAAUGGGGUUGAUAAAACAUUGCAGAAAGCUGAAAUCCAGAAUAAUGAUGAGCAGCAUCCAAAUUCUGCUCUUCCCACAACACCAUUACGGUUUUCCAGGUUUACUUUCUGAACUAUUUACUGCCUUAAAGGUUGAGUGUUUUUAUUAGAUCUUUAGUGAUGUUUUUGAAAUUUGAUGCCAGACCACUGGUUCAGCUGCCAUAUUCAUCGAAGGGCAAACCGCCAAGAUGUUUUCUUGGCGUUGGAUCAUCUUCUGGAUUGUAUACUGGCCAAAGAUAUGGAAAACCAAAUAUUCUUCGACCUCAAUGGAAGUUUGAGAAGCAAUUCCAAAAUGUUCCAGAAGAUGAAAUUCCUGAGAUCCUUCGAGAAAACCACUCUCCAAGCUCUGGCAUCAAGACUUCUCCCAACAGCAAGAGGGUCUCUCCUCCACAAAGUAACUUAGGAUCAUCCCCUGGUCGGAGGAGUGGUCGGAAGUUGAUACUACAAUCCAUACCCUCAUUCCCUUCUCUCACUCCCCAGCAUUGAAAGGAAAUGUUUCCCAUAAAAGCUCGGAUGAAAUUCUUUUAAACCUUUGUAGCGUUGAGAGGCAUGUUAGUUUAGUUGUAUGUAAUUCGAGUUUUUUCCGCUCUGCUUGUAUAAUAAGAUGCAAUCUAGUAGUCAUAAAAUCCAACUACUCUUGUAUAAUAUUGUACUUCUACCUUUUCUUUUGUUCAUCUUCCUCCAACAAGGUUGAUUUUUAACACUUCAUUAAGCUAUCAAACACCACGAGUAAUAUAGAUGCCAUGCCAGCUAGAUGUUGGCUUGUGACAUGCUUAUAUAGUGUUAUGAGUUUAUGAAAAAAAUAAAAAAAAAAUUAUAUGAAGAAAAACUAUUAAAGGAAAAUAUUAAAAGUUAAAUUCUUAAUUAGUUUAAUAGUAAAAAAAUAAAAUCAACAAAGAAAAUUUUUUAAAAAAUCAUAACAAUAAAAAAAUGAAAAGAAAAAAAACCAUAUAGAAAAAUACUGUAGCAAUUUAUAGUUUCAUGGAAAAAUGUAGUUGCAAUUCUCGCUCAAUAUUAAAAAUAAUAAAAUCAAUAAAGAUAAUUUUUAAAAAAAUCAUAACAAAAAAAAAAUCAUGUGGGGAACACUGUAGCAAUUCACGAUAUUUUUUUUUUAUAAAAAACUAAUCUAAAGUGUUUUAAAGAAAAAAAACUAUAAAGCUAAAUUCUCAACCAGUUUUAUAUUAAAAAAUAAAAUCAACAAAAACAAUUCUAAAAAAAUAAAAAAUGAAAAAAAAAGACAAUUUUGAAAAAAAAAUAGAAAAAGAAACAUGCAGGAAAAGUUAAAGCUAAAUUCUCAACCAACUUUAUAUUAAAAAAAUAAAAUUCAACAAAGAUAAUUUUGAAAAAAAAAAACAUGUGGAGAAACACUAGUAAAACAAAAAUCAUGUAGGGAAAUAUUGUAACAAUCCAUAGUGUUUUAAAGAAAAAAAUUACAAAGCAAAAUUCUCAACAAGCUCAACAUAAAAAAUAAAAUCGACAAAGAUCAUUUUGAAAAACAAAUUCAUAAAAAAAAACUAUGUAGGGAAACAUUAUAGUAAUUCAUAAUGUUUUAAAGAAAAAAACAAUAGAACUAAAUUUUCAACCAAUUUAAUAUUAAAAAAAUCAACAAAGAUAAUUUUGAAAAAAAAAAAAAAAAAACAUGUAAAACCUCAAAAAAAAAUAAUAUGGGAAAAUAUAUAUAUAGAAAAAGCUACAAUACUUAGCCUCACGUUUUAGGAUAUUACAGGAUAUUAGUUAAUAAAGACUGCAAUCUUCCAAGGAGAUUAUUCCCAAGCCUUGAUGCGUCAGGGAAUCAAAAUUCAUAACUUAAAUAGAAUCCACUUCUGCAGCAUUAGCCAUUUAAGCCUGGUGGUUCUGCUCCUCAAAUUUCUUUUGGGCUGGAAUCACCUAGUCUAGCUGGUUGAUCCAGUCAGGUCAGGUUGAUGGGUUUCAAAGGACCAUUCCAUGUGUAUAGACAGGAGAGAUGAACAUAUGCACACGGAGUUGGUCAUUUUCUUUUUCAAAUAAGACCAUUUCUAGUGUUUUACCAAGGCUAGAAGUUGAGCAUUUCUUCUAUCUUUGUUGAAGAUAUUGCACCCCCUGUUUUAUCUUCGAGGGUUUUUUUUUUUGUGUUUUUUUUGGGAGGUGGGGGGAGGCUCCAAGACCUGGAAAGCUCAGCGAAGAAAACAGGAAGCAAGUAAACGAGGGCACGAAGCACAGUUACAAAAUGUAAAAAAGAGGUCCAAUACAGGAAGCACAUGACAAACCGGUCAGUGCAUAGGAGGUUUUGAAGCCUUUGAUAAUUUUUCUCACCUUAUAGUUGGGUUACACAACGGAAGUCGUAAUGCUCUCCUUUGUUUAUCUUUGCGUGGGCAGCAUUGAGUCAAGGCCAAAUGACUCGUCAACUAACCUAGCUGGUAAGUUGAAGAUAGCAAGGAUACCAUUAAACAAAGACCGUGCAGAUGAAAUGAAGACUCGGAACAUGUUGGUGCAGUAUUAAAUUCAGUACUGAAUUUGUAAGCAAUGUGGCGAUGCCUAUCUUGUAAACAAGGCAAGACCACGGUUAGACAUUAACAUCAUGCUCUUGUCAAGUUUGAACUCUUUUACGAUCAAAAAGCAGAGUAAUUCAUCAAGCUAUGGAAGAAUUAGUACAUCCUUCCUAUAGUUAGAGUUCUUGCGAUCUCCUUUAUUGAAAAUUAAGUUGCAGGAAAAAAAAUCUGCUACCUUGACCGCUAACCCGCUUGGGAUGGCUAAGGUACAAGGGUUGGAUAAGAAUCUACCAACUUCUACACCUAAGAAACAAUUCCCUUCUCCCCUGUUUAUGGGUCACCAUCGGAGCUCUCGAGUUCACAACUGCACCAAGCUGGUUAUACUCCCAAUUGGGGUAUAUCUGAUUUUCAUCUAAUAAUUGUACGCCCGAGUUCCUUGUCUUAAAAAAAAUGCCAAAAUACCUGUAUUCAUAUCUAAACCUUCACAAAUACCACCUCGAUGUCUUAGUUUUGGAUCUGUAAGGAAUUAGAUGACUGUUGAGCAUGCUUACUAACCAUUUGCGGAUUUAGGGAAGAGUGGAAUUCGAAACAGGAGCUUUCCUGUCAAAGCAAAGAAAAAAAAUAGUUUUUAAAAACUUCUCAAUUUCAACUCGCUAGGAUGAUAUUGGUGGCCAUUUUGCACGGUGAGACCUUUUAUAUAUGGAAAUUAGAUUGCAUUGGCAUCGUUCAGUUGAAAUUACAAGGGUAAGAAGGCUGGCGAAACAAGUACUACUUUCUAGAUCAGCCUAUUCUCAGGUUAUAUACUAAGCUAACAUGAAUGGCUUCGGUCUAACUUAAUCUCUUAAAAUACACGAAAAUCUGGAAUACUUCAAGAACUGUAGCUAGAAAUAACAACGAGCUUUACUUACAGUGGUUACCUCAUUCUUCAUUAGUUGAAGGUCUUGCACAGCCACAAAAGCAACCCUUCUUCUGCCUUCUGCUGCUUUUCCUGCCACCGCUGUAUAUGAAGUCUCUCAAGAGGAUGCCUGUUUUACUUCCAGAAAAUUUAUGCUUUCUUUUGCUUUUCUUUUCAUCCUCCAGUUUUAGCAGAAUGUAAUGGAUACUCUGCACCUCAAACUGUAACCUUCCUAUCUUUUCAGACCUUUCAUAAAUCAAUCUAUGGCUCCUAUGAUGAGGACCACAGUCAAACAACAAUAUUAUUUGGACUUAAAGCUCUCUUGGUUCGAAAUUAUAAUUGACUGCUCUCUUGAUUUAAGCUCUCGUGUCUGUUGGAAUGUUGCAUUUGUUUUUGCUGCUAGCCCUCAUGAUUGAUGGGCCUCGGACAUUGAUUAGCGACAAAUUCUAUACUAAAUUUCCGAGGAUUAUAUUUAUUGGUUGACGGCGGAUCGUUUGUAGUUGCCGGUUGGGGUAGCGGAUAAACUAGUUCGUCCACAUUCCAAAUGGAAAUGUCUUAUGAUCACCAUCAUCACUCGCCGAGUAGAGCUUUGAUGGUAUUAUUGCCAAUUGGUCCCAACUAGAGAUGAUUAGGGCUUGUUUAAAGGUGUCCUUGUUGUCCCACAUGACUUGGUGUCUGAUUUUACUCUCUUUUCCCUCGAACAUUUCCAGGUGAGCAACGAAUAUACAGCUUGUGUUAGCAUUUGUGCACUUGCAUCUUCAUAAAUCGUGAAUUCUUAAGAUCUUCUGCACAAAAAUUUGGUCUGAAUUAACCCACAAACUGAUUCAAGAAUACUCUUCACCAUCAAGUAAUAAAUCAAUCAAUCAAAAGUUUAAAUUUAGCAAUUCACGCUAGAUUAGUGUAAUGCUUUAAUUAUGAAACAUAUCUUAACGUUAUACCUUUUCAAAUUUUAGUUAUGAUGAAUGGAUUUAAAUUUGUUUCGCUUACGAUCAUUUAAUACUCGAUUUAAAAAAAAAAAUUGAAAUACCUUUUCAUAAAUGUAUGAAUCCUAACAUGAAUUUGAAUAAUGUGUGUAGAACUUCAUUAGAAAAAGGUUUAGUCUUAAUCACAAAAGUAAGCUCAAGUGUAUCUUGAUUGUUAAAAAAAAAACAGAGUAGUUCUCUUUUUUUUAAGACCAAGUGGUAUCGUUGGGUCAAUCUUGACAUGCAAACAUUGAAUCUAGCUCUACGAUCCAAAUAAUGACAGGAUAUCCAUGAAAAGAUUAGAAGAAAUGAUAAGAUCCUUGUUAAAAAUCCCCUUGCAUAUUUUAUAGGUUUAAACUCAAACAACUUCUAUGGUGCUUUUAGAUGAUAAUCAAAUCUGUGGCAAACUUAGGCCCGGUUCCGAUAUGACACAGCAGCCGAUCAGGGGAGAGGGAGUUCUGUAGUGCCGGGGGUGAAAGCUGAACCUUGAAUGGCGAGAGAGCCAGGAGGUGUAUCUUAACUAAACGUGUAUAACGAGUGGACUCCAUUGUAUCCAAAUCAAGGUUAUCUAAUCAGGAUCAAAAUCGAUUGCCGUCGUGAAAAUGGUAGAUGACGUGCCCUAACUCUUGCACGAGCAAUGAUGUUUUUAAAAAUAUUUUUUAUUUAAUAAUAUAUUAAAAUAAUAUUUUUUAAAAAUUUUAAAAAUUAUUUUUUUAUAUUUAUGUAUCAGAAUAAUCUAAAAUUAUUAAAAAUUUAUUAAUUUUAUGUAAAAAUAAUUAAUUUUUUUAAAAAAGUGGAAAAACAAAAAAAGGCUUUAGAAAAAUUACAAUAUUUGUUUUUGCGUCUUUGAAGUGGGUCUCCGGGAAUCAUUUCAAGCAAUGAGGUGGAAAGGUGAAUGUUGAAUAAUAAAAAGAAAUUUGAAAAGUGGAGAAUUGUACCGAAGACUAAAGGAGACAUGGGCCAUGCUUGGUAAUUGGAUAUCUAAAGAGCCGGAAGAAAUGGCCCUACGAUGUGUUCUUCUCCUUUAUUUAUUUAUUUAUUUAUUAUUUUUUUGACAAGCACAUUGAUGCAGCUUAACCAGUAUCUCAGGGAUACCACGGUUUUUGGAUUCGUCGAGGACAUGAUGAAAAGUGCUGUUUGGAUGCUUAUUUUCUUCAUGACCUGUUGUCCGAUGGAAAAGAAAUUAAGCGUAUAUUUGUAUAAAGUCCAUGAAAUUAACUGUUUUCUUUCUUCUAUAUAAUUUUUUUAUUGGUGCAUGGUAUCAGAAAAAAGCUCACGUAUCCAUUUCGUAUAAAAACUAAACAAACAAGAGAAUGGUCACUUAAAAUGUUUUAAGAACACAAUUAACAAGGAGCAUAAAAAACUAUAAUAAUAAUAAAAAAAAGGGAUGUAGUAAAAAUAUACGAGAGACGAGCUCUUAACAUCAUUUAACACGUCUUAUCUCAACAAGAGCAAGGAACGUCUGUGGGGAAAGAAAUGAAAACCACUAAGCACAUAUUUUUGAGAAAUAAUUCUAAUCCCUUCCUCGUCUAUUAGAAUGUGACAAAAUAUAGUUUUAUAAUGACGAAAAAUAAAAAUAAAGAGUUGCAAAUGAGACUCUCGUGGAUGCAAAUACAAAUUAAUAGUGGUGGCAUGUACUCUUGUAGAAGAUGAAUGACAGAGAAUUAAAGCUUAAUUAGCAAAUAAAUAUAAAGGGCCCGCCCGCCCUUGGCCUGCCGCCCACCCACUCAUCGCCUUCUAAUCAAGAUUCUCCAUCAAAACUUGGCAGUCAAAUAUCCUUCCAUUUCCGAGGGAACUCUAAGGGCAACAAUCUGAUCCAGUGGUAUCUAACGAAACAUCAAGUUCAGAGAUUCAACGAGGGAAUAAUGAUCUUGCGAUUCUACGUAUCUCUCGCAUGGAAAAAACAGUUUGAUAUAUACAAGCUAGGCACCAUCUUUGUCAUGUCACAUGGACCAAGCAAGAUAUCGUUUCAAGGAUUUUGAACUUAAAAAAAAAAAGUAACCUCUCCCGUUACAUAAUUAUAUCUUUACCGAGGGAAUUGAAGUCAUAGAAAGUCGAAUUCCUAUCUCAUUUGUUAGCCAUCAAAUAUAACAUCACUGGAUCAAGUCUUCAUGUGUUCCGAGCAACAUAAAUUAAAAUAUAUAUUCCUUCGACGAGCCACAUAAGUUGUCCCUCCCCCAGUGACAAAGCAAGGUUUUUUUUUCCCCCUUAGUGUCUAGAAACUAGAAUAGAAAAUGUGCUCUUAGUGCAGUAGUAUUUCUCAUAAUAGGCUAGAGUGGAGAUAGAUUCAAGCUCAAAGUUAAUUUAGACGAUUAUAUAUAUAUAUAUAUAUAUAUAUAUAUAUAUAAUAUAUAUUAAAAAAUUGUCCUUUAUCGUGUUUUUUGAUGUCUAAUAUCAUUAAGAAUAUUUGGAAAAAAGGAUAAACAGAAUCAUAAAGAUGGCCAAGAACCAUCACGACCCAGUUGCUGGAUACUGCGUGUUGUCUAAUGAUAAUAGCUGCUAAUAAGCAAGCCAUCAUGGAGGAUAUGAUAAUUAGCUAAUUAGAGGCAGCUCAAAAGCAACCACGUUCACAAUUAGACGAGGAAGAUUUCGUUAUCAAGCAUCGCCAUCUUUGGACUCAACGAGUCUGCAAUGAUAUCAAAAUAGGUCAAAACAACAAGAAGGAAUUCCAAGAAGAUCUCUGCUUUUGUCUUUUUCUUUUUUGUUCUCUUCCGACUCUACCCUUCCCUCGGUGAAUCUAAUGCCACCGUCAAGAUUUACGAGGCAGUCAAAGGAGGCAGCAGCAGCAUGUUUGAUUUCCUUCUUUCUUUAACACUCCCUUUCUUUUUUUAUGGGUGCUUUUUCUGCUUAAUGAGAGAGGCCCCACUCCUCUCUUUCUCUUUGCCAACGUUUUUAUGGGUUUGAAGACAAAUUGGGUUUUUAUCUUUUGAUUUUCCUUUUCUAAAUGCACGGACCCAGUCUUUCUUUACAUACAUGUCAUUAGAAAUAGAAUCCACUGCAGGUUCAAGUGUCACCAAAGACCAGCGUAUAUUAUUUUUUACCAUACUCUAUAUCAAAGUUAUAAAAAUCAGCUGAGUUGCGAGUCGGAAGAGUGAACAUAAAUUAUCUAAUUUUAAAAAAUAAAUAGAUAAAAUGUUUUUUUAAAAAAACCUUUUUUAGAAUAAGUCAACAAAUAGAUUGAUUAAGUUUUAUUGAGCAAACAUCAAAAAAAAAUUAUUUUUUUAAUCUGAACCGGUUUAAUUUUCGGGAUAAUUUGAUAGGUUAGUCUUGGUACAAAGACAGUGUUCUAUCUGCAUGUGUUGUUCUGAUGUGGACAUGUCUAUACGCGCAGACAUGACUUGUGUUUUGUGCGUACGUGUACUGGAUGUCGACGUGUCUUCUAUCUAAGUGGCGUGUUUUCAUUUUAUUCAUUUCUCUUCGUUAUCUCGGGGAGUCGAUGUCCUUUGUACAGAUUAAUGUAAAUUAAUCCAAUAUAAUCAAUUCUCUUGAUGUUCUCCCAGAUAUGAUUAAUUUUUUACUGUUAACUAUAAACUAAAAGAUGAGGAGUUUUACUGUAUUUUUUUAAUAAAUUAUUAUUUAUUAAAAUAUUGAUUUUUUAAUUAAUUUAUUUUUUAAAAAAAAAUAUGAUUUAUUUUUUUAAUUAUUACACUCUCGUAACCGAGUUUAACAGAUUAAGCUGAUUUUGGGGGUUAAUCUGGUUGACUCGUUUUUUUUUAUCAUUUAAUAUUGGGUUGAUUGAGAAUUAGAUUUUAUGAUUUAUUUUAUUUACUUUCUUUUAUGUUAUUUUUAGUCUAAUAACUCAAGAAUGGUGCUUAAAAGAUUAACUCGAGUAGACUCGGAUUACUUUUUAUCUUUUUUAUUUUAUUUUAUUAUUCAAUACCAGGUCGAUUAAGUUUUAAGUUUUAUAAUUUUUUUGAUUUGCUUUGUAAGGGGAUAUCUUAGUCUCAUGAUUAAGAUAAUUGAUUUUAGCAUUUUAACUAUGAUUAAAUCAUGUCAUUUAUUUUAUUUUAUUUUCAAAACAUUAUCAUAGUAUCACAACCUGAGUCAUGGGUCCUUCAACAUUGAAUUUUCUUUUGAUUUAGUUGUCUCAGCCUCAUGACCUAGGUGGUGAGUUAGCUUAAUUGACUCAACUUUUUUUUAAUUGACUAUUUUUUUUCAUCGUUUAAUAUCGUGUUUAAUUAAAAAUUAAGCUUCAUGAUUUAUUUUGCUUUAUUUUUUAUUAGGUUUUCUUGACAUCAUAACCCGGUAGUUGUUAACUUUAGUUUACUUUGCUUAUUUUUUGUGUCAAUUUUUAAAUUAUAAUUUUUUUAAAUUUCAUCAUUUAACAUUGAAUUUAACAGUGACAUUUAAGAAUUGAGUUGUAAAAUUUAUUUUGAUAUGUUUUCUAGUAGGUUAUCUUGAUGACAUGACCAAAGCCAUGGAUUUGAUAGAUUAAUCCGUGUUAAAUUAAGUUUUUUUUUUAUGAAGUUAUCUCGAUCUGAUGACCCCGGAUAUAGGUUUGACAGAUUAACUUGAGUUAUUUUUUAUUACAUGACCAAAGUUGUAUGAAUUGUUUUUGAACCUGUAUAUUUAACCGGGUUAUAUCAAAUCAGCUCCCACAUCAUUUAUUUAUUUAUUUCACUAAAAAAAACAUAUUAAUAAGAUCUAACAUUUAUCUUAUAUUAAAAAAAGAAGUAACCUGAUUCACAAUAUAGCAUAUAUGAAUUAUCUAGUAAUUCCAGAACUGGGUCAGUGACGUGGUGGUUUGCGUGAUCAUAGAAAAAAGUUAAUUACAAUGUACUGAUAAAUAUAUAUAUAAAAAAAGAAUAACUAAUUAGCUAUUUGAUGGCAAUGGAAUAAAUUAUCACCGAGAUUCAAUGAGUUUUUUUUUAGUUUAUGUUUCAGGAUAGAGUAAAAAACAUGGGUAGAGUUAUAUUUGACGAUGGUAUAUAUACAAAAACAUUUAUCAUGACAAUGAUAUACAACGCUAUAAAAUAUAUAUAAAAAAUAUUUCAUCUUUGUGUUAUCUAUUUUUAUAUUAAAUUUGAAAAAAAAAGAAAAUAUUUUUUAUUUCAUUUCAUUUUCAUGGAUGCUCUACUUAUUCAGUGAUUUCUAAAUACUAUUAUUUUUUUUUAUUUUACGUUGCGUUAAGGAUAAUUAUUAACUUAGUAUGUAUUUUAAUUUUAAAAUAUUAUUAAUUUCAUCCAUGAAAUAUUAACUCAUUAAUAUAAUUAUUUUAACGUAACCUUUGAAAAGAAUAUUAUACAUCCAGCAAAAAUACAAUAACCUGUAAUUUAUUUUUGUUAAUUCAUAUUUCUACAGAUACAAAUCAGGAGAAAUUUAUAAUAUGGUUUAGUCGGUUAGUUUUCUUAGAUUUUAUACAGAAAUACAAAUAUACAAGAAAAGAAGAUAAUAAUAAUAAUAAUAAUAAAAAGACUAUGUAAAAUUUGGAAUGGGUGGGAAAAGUAAAGGAAAAUGAUUAAACCUACUAGUCUACUACCUAGAACCAGGUCUAGGCUCAUCUAGGCUGAGACACAACUAGAGUGACAAGCUGUCUGUUAUAAUCCCAUGCGGCGAGUCUUGUUUAUUUUUUGAAGAAACUCACUUGAAUCUAUUGCGAGCACCGACCACCAUAAAAAAAUCUUCGUUUUAUUUCAAAUAUUUAUAUCUCUCAGAUCUAGUGAUAAAAUUGUAUAAUUUUUAUGCAAGUGAAUUUUUUAUUUUAUGAUAGUAUUGGCCAAUUUUGUGACCGAAUUCUGUACAACCAGAAAUAUCUCUCUCCGCUAGUUUUUUCCCUCUCUUCUUGAUAAAUGUUUUAUUAUUAUGUUUUAUAUAUAUAUAUUUGAGUUUUUCAAAUUCAACCGUGGAAGUUGAAUGUUGUAAAAUCAAUGGUUUAGAUAUUAAGUUGGGGAUAGAGAUGGAAGAUUUGAAAUGUUUUUAGGGGCAUUUUUUAAGAUAAAAAAAUUAUUGUUUGUCUUAUCAGACACAUUUUUUAUUUUUUUGACCUUUUGAGGUACAUAAAUAGCAAAAUUUUGGUUACAAUAAGAAGUUGUUUUUAAAAUAAUUUUUGUGAUUAUAAUUUUAAAAAAUUAAGUUUAAAAAAAGUAUGAUUAGUUAGAUUUAUGAUUGAGGUUUAUGUGUAGCAAAAGAAAUAUAUAAAAUAUUUGGUUGUAGUUGCUUUUCAAAAAUAUUUUUUUACUUAGAAAUGCAUCAAAUUUUUUAUUAUUAUUAUUUAAAAAUUAUUUUUAAUCCUAGCGCAUUAAUUUUUUUUUGAAAAUAUAUAUAUAAAAAAUUAUUUUGAAGUAAAUUUUUUUUUUUUUUAAAAAGUAUUUUUAAAACACAAAAACAAAUAGAAUUUUACGAACCUCAGUUAAAAAAAUAUAUAAAAAUUGUUUUAUAAAAUUAUAUUUGAAACUUAAUUUUUUAUGGGCUUCAUAAUAUAAAAUAUAAUUUGAUGUAUUACCUGACUAUGUUUUUUACACCACAUAUACAACAGCCACAACUAAAUAAACUUACCUUCAAUAAUUAUAAUGUUCAUGAGUAGAAUUAGAGGGGAAGCCUAGAUAACAACCCCGAGCCCUAAAGUUAAAAUAAUACAUAAUUCGUACAAGUUUUAUAUCUUAUAAUAUAACUAACUAUUCUAAAUAAGAAAUUGUAUUUUAACCCACAAUCUAUCAUUUUUGUCGACGUAUAUUGUCUUUGCACCUCAUCAUGUUCUUCGGUUUUUCUAAUUUAAUAUUCACAAUUCCGUCCUCGUGGCCAUGACCCCUGGCCGCACCACACGCCACGCAUGGAUUGCAACCUCCACAAAACUUAAAUAUAUUUAAAUUCAUAACCUGGUUUCAAAUUAUUCACGAAGAAAAGAUAUUCGGUGGUGAAACUAGUGAUUAAUUUUUAAAAUAAAUUAAAAUAAUAUAUUUUUUAUUUUUUAAAAAAUAUUUUCGACAUAAUACAUUAAAAUGAUAUAAAAAUAUUAAAAUAAUAUUAUUUUUAAGUUAAUAUUUUUUUGAUAUUUUCAGAUAUUUUAAUUUAUUGAUGUUAAAAAUAUAUUUUUUUAAAAAUUAAUAUUAUUUUAAUAUUUUUAAAAAAAUAUUUUUGACAUCAGUAUAUAAAAAUGAUAUAAAAAUAUUAAAAAAUAAUAUUAACUUAAAACAAUUUUUUUUUUUUUAAAAUGUUUCACGCGAAACGCUAGAAUCACAGAAAGAGUUCUCAUGAUCCGAGUUGCCCAAACAAUACGAACAAGUGUCCAGUGGUUCUUAGCUAGUUCUCACAUUUGACGAGCCUUCUUCCAUUAAGUAGAUCUGAAUGGUGAAAAGUUGUAAUAACGUGUAAAACAUGCUCGACCACUCGGUAUUAUUACCGUUUUGUAUCUUAAACAUGAGGGCGGCUAUAUGUCUCUCUCCUUUUCAAGUCUGACCUCGAGUUUCAACGAAGAUUUCCUUUCGCUCCUUCACUAUGAUGAAUCAAUUGUUAAUUAUUAUCCAAAAUGUAAUUAAAUAUUGAAUUUUUUAUAUUAUAAAAUUACAUAAUUUAAAAAGGUUUCAAUUAAAAUAUGCAGCUUAAUGCAGCAUGUGAUUGUCAUAUUUAAAAAACCUAAUAUUUAAUGAUAUUUAUAUUUUAACUAUUACAUCAAAUCGGAUAAAUAUUUUAUGUUUUAAUAUUAAAUAUUUUAUGUUUUAAUAUUAAAUAUUUUUAUCAACAUCUAUCUUUUAAUUUUUUAAAUUUUAUUUUUAAGUAUUAUUAAUAAAUUUUUAUUUAUUUAUUCACAUGUAUAGUUUUUAAUUUAUACAUAAAGUUUUUUGUUCCAACAUAAAAUUUUAAUUCAAAGGUUUUUUUAUCUUCUUUUAAAAAGAUAAAAAUAUCAAACCAGAGGAAACACGGAUCACAUAUCCAUGAUAUAUCAUAAAUAUCGUUAAUAAAUGUAGAUAGAUCAUAAAUAUCGCGAAUAAAUAUAGAUGUAGAUGCUGUUAGAUGAUUAGAGGUUUAAAGAGCAAGAGGGAAUAAAAUGGGGUCACAAGAGCCCAGAACCACUCAUCUGCUUUGACAUUUUGAUAUAUUUGGUGGUCACAAUUUUUUCCCUCGUCUUCCAAGGCACUGUAUACCACCUUCCAUGUUGCCCUAUCAAAUCAGAAGGCUUCUGUCAUUUUCAGACAUUGCCCCCGCCUCUCCCGAAUUUAUUGACUGAUUGAGACCGAGUUCGAGCCGGCGACUCGUGUCAUCCUAUAGCUUAAAUUUUCUUUUCAAGGUGCUAUGUACCCAUGCCUAGAAGUCCUUAUUCAGCUUCCUGGUGAUUUUCUUUGAAGCUUCUGUCAUGGCGAAAUUAUCAUGCAGGCGACCAGCUCCGUAUUGGACUGUUUUACGCAGUUAUCAUCACAGUCUCUCACACUAAUCAAAUCUCAAUGGAUUUCACGUUAUGAAAUGUAAUGAGUGCAUGAACGCAGAGUGGAAUUAAGCCACAGAAUAUAGCAUAAUAUAUUUACGGGGAGGUGAAUUUUCUUAAACCUAUUUUUUUGUCAAUAAUAUUUUCCUGAUUUCUUCCUUCUAUGUUCAAAUCUACAAAUCUGGUUACAUGAGAUGCGUGAUCAUGUUUUCCCCCUCAGAAACAAUCAAUACAACAGCCCGCUGAGGUUUAUGGGCUAGUUUGAGCCCAUUAAACGAGUUGUCUUUCGAAACCAAUAGAAAAAGAAAACAAUAGUAUAACUUACUUCAUGAUUGUUUUUUCGGCAGAAAUGAUGUUUUUAAUUUUACUUGACAUUAAUUUUUUAUUUUUAAAUAAUUUUAAUAUAUUGAUAUUAAAAAUAAAUUUUAAAAAAUAAAAAAAUAUUUUAAAAAACAAUGGUACCAUAAUCUUAAUUUUUUUUUUAAAAAUCCAACUAUUUCAACUGAGGUUGGGCUUAGUAGUACGGACCGGGCCGGCCAUUCUUGUGACAGCAAAAGACAACAUACAUAGGCCUAAUGGUUGCGCAAAGCUUUAGGUCCAAGGAAUGUUUUUAAAACGACAGCAUUUUAAAAUAAGCUGGAGUAUAGUUUGCUAAAAGAAAAACAUUUAUCCCUUAACUAUCACCCAAUUCUCAACUGGGUCCUAAACAAAACCAAAAUUAUCAUUUGCAUACCCAUCAAUCAAGCAUUAUCCAAUUCAACCCAUCAUUAUAAUUUAUGACAAGAAAAAAGUGAUUUAGACAACUAGAUUCUCCCCUUUUUUUAUAUAUUAUUAAAGAGAUCCUUUUCCACUAAUUCUAGCUUGCCAUCUUAGCAUUUAUGAGUUUGGAAGCUCACAAAUCAUGCAAUAAAUAAAUAAAAUUUUGUGUACUGGCUCUUCUUCAAUUGGUUGGAUUUUAAAACUGUAGAUUGUUGAGUUGUAAGUCCAUGAAUGGUAUAGAAUUAUUCAGUUAAAAAAGGAAAAAGAGAGUUGAUUGGGUGUUGUGCAGAAGAUGGGAUCCAAUUGAGAUUUGCUUGUUUGGCGAUCCAAUUGAGAAUUGUUUAUAAUCUGGGGAUGAAUAUGUCGUUUUCAAGAAAAAGCUCUUCGUGGUAAUGGUAGUUCUAGUUCUAGGGCUUCUAGCAAUAGCACAAACUACGAAGUACCAGUCAAAACGCUCUCUUUCUCCGUCAAGCUAGUAGAAAUUUAACGGUAUUUUUUCUCACUUGCAAUUUACACAAUCCUCCAAAAAGGCCAAAAGGGCAAUUCCGUGUUGUCUGCUCAGGUAACUCUUCUCCAUUGAUGUUUUUCAUCUCCUUAGAAACUUGAUUUACAGAUUGCAUUUUGCUUAUUUCAUGUUCUUUUAUUGGGUAAAAGAAAAUCCUAAGGCUCAGAAGACAGUUUUUGCAGUGACCUAAGAUUUUGAUGUUUUCUGCUCGAUUAAAUGCAGAAGGCAGCAACAGCAUGCAAAUCUAGGGUAGGAAAUUGGAUGAGAAGUACAAAAUAAAAUUGUUUCUGCUUUCUUGAGGAAAUGAAGCAAGAAUGGUUUUAGAGUGACCCAGUUUGGUCUUUUGCUAAAUAAUUGCUAUUUUCGAAUGCUGGCUUGGAUUAGCGUGCCUUUUAUGAGGGUUUGUUGAACACGAGGGUUUACUUUCUGCCUUAUUGAUUGAUGAAUUUUGUGGUGAUUUUACUUGGGAGUAAUCUUUACUUUCUUUUGUUUCCCUGUUAUAUUUUUCCUCUUCUAGUCUUCAUUUAUUAUCAAUUGCAUGUCAAUGUAGACGUCACCCAAUUUGUUUACUUGUUUUCUGUAGUCUAUAGGCAGAGCCCUGUAUAGUUAUUUUGCUUAUUAACGGUUCUGGGGAUCUCUGGGCGGUUAACUGUAAAUAGAAAUUUGAUUUAGUUUGGAUUUGUGUGCUGGUGAUCGAUAGAGUAGAGGGACAAUUUCAAGCUUUUAACUCUUUUAUCUUUGCUUGCUUGACAUUCUUCUGAACUGGAGUCUGGUGAUCUCUGUCCAGGGUUACAUUGUAUGUGACAUGAAGAGGACAAUACCAUGGACUGACCCGGUUGAUGUUAUAUCAUCGGAUGAAUCUUCUUCCUCGGAUUCAGAUAUAGAGCUUAAUGAUGGACUUGAUGGCCAGCGGUUAUCCAAUUAUGUUACAAUCGAUCAACCCUUCAAAGAAAUGACAUCUGAGGGUACUAACACCUAUUUGGAUUUGGAUCCUGGUUAUAUAUUGUUUUGAUAAAAUUCGUUUGUGCAUUAUGCGAUCACCAAGUAACUUCACCUGUAUGAUACCGGUUGUAUCUCUGUGAAUGAACUGUUAAAAUGUUCCUUGUCUGGUUGAAUAUUAUCCCGCUGCUAGUCCAUUUUUUAUUCUGUCUUGAGUUGAAAGUUACUCUGGGCGGUCAUGCACUUGGGUUUUGCACUUGUUUAACAGAUAUGCUCAACCAUUCAUCUACAUUUUAGCCUUACUAAAUGUGUCAUUGUUCAGGUGUGUUGAUUAGAAGGGCAGAAAUGUAUCAAGAUUACAUGAGGCAUAUCCCUAUCCCAGUACAACGUGGCUCUGCCAUCCCAUUUUCCUCAUGGGUGGGGUUAGGCAAAUCCAUCAAGCAACUAUAUCAGCAGCCCUUGCAUUACCUCACCAACAUUCUUCUAAAUACAUGGGAUCAACAACGAAUUGGCAGCGAGGACGAGCAUACGCCCUUGGAUAUCAUGAUUCAUCCUUGUAAAGCUGAAGCCACCAUCUGGCUUGUUGAAGAAGUUCACAGGCGCACAUCAUCACACCAUCACGUGGCUAAAAUCUGGCAAUCUGACCCAAUGCAUCAUGCUUUUGUAGACUCCAUUUUCCCAAAGUUAUGAAGCACAUCUCGACUUUAAGCUUGAUUUUGUUGGAUGUUCCCUGAUAGCUUGGGCAAGAGGUAUGAACUGUAUAACCUGCAUCUGAAAUGGAACUGAAACUUCUCUUAUGGUUGUUCCUUUAUUGUUAUUUUUUCUUUUGUAUAAUUGUCACGUGCAUAAAUAGAUAUAUUUAGCUUUCUUUUUUUCA
rnacentral:lncRNA from 1 species